rnacentral:lncRNA from 1 species
GGCGAUGGAGGUCAGUUUAACUUUGAUUUCUAAUUUUUGUUGCAUGCAUUGUUUCGGCAUGCUCUAAAUUAUCUUACGGCGGGCUCUAAUUUCUAGAUUAAAGGCCAAUUUAGACAAUUCUCAAAGGCUAUCUUAAUGGUGUUGUUAGUUACGGCUGGAGAAAAAAAAAAGGAAAAAUACCAUCAAUUUAGGCCAGCAGUUGCGGCAAUCGUUUUCAAUUAUCAGAGGCAUGUUCCUAAUUGAUCAACAGUUUCCUUAAUCAAAGUGCAUCUUUCUUUGCUCCUUCCCACGACAGCUCCCAGCGGCUCCGUCAAGCCCCCGGCGGCCAAGGUCGAUGCAACCAAAAACGCAAACGCUUCAGAGUUAGAAGAAUUCAAUCCGGCUGUCUCCCCGCGAGGAAAUCGUUCCCGCGCCCGGCUGCGACCAUGCUGGACGACUUGGAGAACUGUCCGGCACUCCGGACGUCCUUGACGGCGGCUACGGGCAACGGCGUCCACCUGCCGCACGGCAGCUUCAUGCCGAGGACUAAAAGCUAGCACGGGAAAAGACCAAUUUACCCAAACGCAAUUACAAUUUUGCCCUCCAAAUCGAGGUACUCCAUUGAUUUCAAGCUUGGUACUCCAUGCAUGGAGUUAGCGAUGGAGUACCAGACAAUACCGGUCACAAGAUACAGAGAAAUAAACGGUCUAUAUUAAAUCCAGGGUACCGUAAAAGAGCUCUUAGAAUAACUAAACAUGGUGAUUAAAAUUGAUAGAUUUUUGUGGGCAAAUUCUAGUUCAGAAGAAGGACAUGAGCUUUGCCGAGGCUCCAUUGACCACUGGUCGUGUGUACAUAAACAUUACGUCGCAAUGACUCUCGACAUCUGCUACAAGGGUUGUUUCCAUUCCAUGCCGCACAACAUGGUUUUUCUUUGUUGCAUGAGCUGUUUCACUAUGCUACAUGAUUUCAUUUUUUGUGUUGCAGCCUCUUUUCAACAUUUUUAUGGCAACAAAAUGAGAAUUCGUCGCUUCAUGCAUGUGUUUGGAAUACAUCAAGAUUUUCAAAAUACUUUUCCCGUACAUCCAUUCGGUAGAGGGCGCGCCUGGGAGGAAACUGGUCUUAGAGUGGACCGACCACGGCGAGGAAACGAGAGCCAGCGGUCAUGUCAUGGGAAUUGGGAAGAGCAAGAAACACACACACCCAUCCUUUCCUUUCCUUUCGGGGUGGAUCCUGCACCACACGCAUCACACACCCGGGUAAGCCAGCCAGCCAGCCAACCAAACAACACCUGUUUUGUAGCACCAUUCCUCCGUGGAUCCAGGCUGACCAAAUGAAGCUCAGAUGGACCGGUGAGACACGCGCGAGACCCAGACCGGCAGACCACGGCGCGACAAAACGUCCGGAGCAGCCGCGCGCGCCCAUCCGCCCGUCGAAACAGCCCGAAAUGGAAGCCAAAGCUCCCCCUCCGCCGUAUAUAAGCCGCGCGCCCGUCCGUCGUCCUCACAGGAACCUCACAACCAAAUAAAGAAAGAGCCAAUUAAUCCCGGAAUAAAUUAACCAGCCAUGGCAAGAGCAACGGCAGCAGGGCGGAGAUCUUGGGCCGCGGCGCGGUGCAUCGUCGCGCUGUACUGCGCCGCCGCGCUAACGACGGCGCCAGCGGCGGCGACAUACGCGGCAGCUGGCGGGCCGCCGUCGGUCCCGGCAGGCCCGCUGGACAUCGUGCUGCUGGGCGCCAAGGGCGACGGCAAGACGGACGCGACGGAGGCGGUCCAGAAGGCGUGGAAGAACGCGUGCGCGGCCACGGGGGUCCAGAAGAUCAUCAUCCCGCCCGGCAACUUCUUGAUCGGCGCCCUGGCUCUCGAGGGCCCCUGCACCAGCUCCAUCAUCAUCCGGCUCGACGGCAACCUCCUGGGAACCGGCGACCUCAACGCCUACAAGAAGAACUGGAUCGAGGUCAUGCACGUCGACAACUUCGCCAUCAACGGCCACGGCACCAUCGACGGCCAGGGCCCCCUCGUCUGGCAGAAGAACCAGUGCAACAAGAACUACAACUGCAAGAUCCUCCCCAACGUCCGUACCGGCCUCUACAUUCUCUCCAUCCAUCCAAAUUACUAGCAUUAUGCAUGUUUAAUUUGAGCUUCAUUUUUAUAUAUAUAGAGCUUGGUGCUGGACUACGUGACGAACGCGAGCAUCAGGGGCGUGACGCUCAAGAACGCGAAAUUCUUCCACAUGAACCUCUUCAACUGCAAGAACGUGGUGGUGGACAAGGUGAACAUCACGGCGCCCGGGGACAGCCCCAACACGGACGGGAUCCACAUGGGUGACUCGGACAACAUCACAAUCACCAACACCAACAUCGGCGUCGGCGACGACUGCAUCUCCAUCGGGCCCGGGACCCAGCGCGUGCGCGUGCACGGGUCCCGGUGCGGCCCGGGACACGGCAUCAGCGUCGGGUCCCUGGGGAGGUACAAGGACGAGAAGAACGUGGAGGACAUCCAGGUGACCAACUGCACCAUCAAGGGCGCCACCAACGGGCUCCGGAUCAAGUCCUACGAGGACUCCAAGUCCGUGCUCAAGGCCUCCAGGUUCGUCUACGACCAGAUCGUCAUGGACAACGUCUCCUUCCCCAUCGUCAUCGACCAGAAGUACUGCCCCAAUAACAUUUGUAACAAGAAUGGGCAGUCCACGGUCACCAUCCAGGACAUCGUGUUCAAGAACAUUGUCGGGACGUCGGCCACGCCGGAGGCCGUCACGUUGAACUGCCCGAAUAACUUGCCUUGCCAGGGCGUGCAGCUCGUCAAUGUGAAUCUCAAGUAUGUCGGGGCGAGAAACAACAAGACCAUGGCCGUCUGCCACAACGCCGUCGGCAAGUCCACCAACGUCGCCAAGGAGCUCGCCUGCCUCUGAACUCUCCAUCACUCUUCGUAUCUUCUUCUUCUUCUUUUUUCAUUUUGGACUCCAUUGAUUUCAUUCAUUCAUGUUUCCUUCUUCUCACAUCGAUCCAUCCAUGUACAUUUUUUCUUCUCUCCUUUCGUUUGUUUUUUGAAAUGAAUUGAUGUAAGCGCCUGACAAUUGACUUGUUGAACUGAAGAGUGGAUUAAUUAAUUUCUGAUUUGAUCUGAAUUCUCCCGUGCAUGUUAACUUCGUGAUGGCAUGCAUGGCCCCCGGUGAUAUGGUACUUAGCUAACAAUCACCGGUUAUUCUACCUGUGCGUGCGUCUCGCACAGGAAACCCAACGAAAUUUCAAACCAACUUGGGAACACAACCAGCAGGACGCACCAUUGAAUCACGACAAUAUACGUCUAAAGAUAAAAUUAUAUUAUCACUGGGGAACAUUGCUUCCCUUCUCCUAAAGUUCAGAGAAACACAUCCCAUGUUAUUUACCAUUCCUAAUAAGACCUUAAAAGAUACAAUGCACGCUUUCUUGCGAGAUUAUUUGAUGCACUGAAGAAUUGGAGACCGUCUUAGCUCAUGGAAGCGCUGGCAGAAUCUUUCCAGUGCAGGUACCGAAUCCGACGUUGUAGUCCUCGCCCUGUAAAACCAGUAGAUGGCAUCAAGAUACAAGAUACAGCACAUCAUCUUCAAACAGAUCGAGAUUUUUGAAAAGAAAAACGAGUUUACUGAACCUUGCAGCAAGCUGUCAAUAUGACUUCAUCCCCGUCUUCGAGGAACUUGCGGAUUGAAUUCCCAACCGAUAUCUCCUUCUGCCCGUUCCAUGUUAUCUCCAGCAAACAUCCCAGAGAGUCUGGUUCCUGAAAGAAGGGGAGAUUUUCAGUGUACUGUAAUUUGUAAAUUGGCAUGUUUCUAAUCAUAUUGCAAUGGUAACUCCAUACAGGUCCACUGAGGGUGCCAGUUGCAAACAUAUCCCCUGGUCUCAGAUUGCAUCCAUUAACAGUGUGGUGCGCUAGUUGCUGCGUCACAGUCCAAUACCUGCAAAUCAGUUUACAGAAAUGUGCAUUGAUUAAACACCGGGGCAAAAAAGGUAUUUCACAUGUUCAACAAGAGUGCUCAGUGCCCUACAUCAAGGUAAUACUAAAUCGAAUCAAAUGGUAACAAAACCAAUGGAAACCUUAUAAAUAUAUACAGAGAAAUGACUAGCACAUUUUGAGUAAAAAUAUAUGCACACCAUGGAUUGAAAAAUGGUAUUAUUAAGAAGUAAAAAGGAGAUUGCUAUUGAAAAAGGCAUGAUGAUUUUUCGUCAAAAAAAGAAAAGAAAAACAUGAUGGGGGUUCUUACAUAUGCUUGAAAUUGGUCUUUGUCACAACUGAUGGAUCGCUUUGCUCUUUGGGCUUAAUCCAAGCCUUGCAUGGAAAAGAAAAUGCAAUGAUCAGAUUGACUUCAGCAAAACGUAACCAACAGGCCCGUCAAAAAAAACAAUACUAGCAACAAUGUGAAAGACUGUACCUCAAGAGGAAUAUCAUAGUUGAUGUGAUUCUUUUCAGCUAAGUAAGGCAAAGGCUCAGGUUCCUGUAACAUACAGCAAAUUAGUUCUUCGCAGAACAACAAAGUGAUUAUUAGCAAAAGAAACAAUACUAGCAACAAAAAAGAACUAAUUGCUUACCUGCUUAGGAGCCUCACAGGCAAAAGGCUUCAGGGCAUCAAGGGUCACAAUCCAAGGUGAUACAGAUGUACCUAGAGAAAUUCAAUUUACAAAAUGGAAAGAAAACCUGUUAUGUAGAGAAAAAGAAUACUGCUUCACAAUGCAUUACAGCAUUGCAGAAGAUUCCACCUAGCAUAUUGAUAGACUGAAACAGAAAUAUGGAACUCAUAACUGAAAAUAACUGAAGAAUUUAAUUACUCCCUCCGUCCCAUAUUAAGUGACUCAAAUUUGUCUAAAAAUGGAUGUAUCUGUAUACUAAAAUACGUCUAGAUACAUGUAAUAUUUCGACACUUAAUAUGGGACAGAGGGAGUACAUAUUAACACUAGUAAAAAUAACCAAGAUACGUGCAAGACUUCCAGAUUUUGCACAACGCAUGAUUCAAUUCUUAUGGUUAACAAAAUUAUAUUAAUGCAUUAGCUGUCUUACUGAAGCUUUUGCCAAGGAAAGGUCCAAGAGGUAUGGUCUCCCAAGCUUGGAUAUCUCUGGCUGCAAGAUUAUACAAAAGUCAGUACAGGUACAGUGGGAAAAUAAUCUACAACGAAUAAACUUGAAAAGGAUACAUACCACUCCAAUCAUUCAUUACCACUAAGCCAAAUAUAUGAUCCUCGGCAUUAUCAAUACUAAUAGGUUUGCCCAAUUCAUUCCCUGGUCCAACAAUGGCAGCCUGAAAGCAACAAGUGUUAUGGCACAGCGAAUCAAGGAGAGAUUUCAUGCCAAGCAUGUUCAUAGUAGCUACAAGAACAUCUAUAAUACAAUUGCGAAUUUUUUUAAGAAGCUAACCAUCUCAAGUUCGAAAUCAAGCUUCUUAGAAGGGCCGAAAGAAGGUUGAGAGCUUGCUGUUGGAUGGCUUUGUCCUCUAAUAAAACAAGCGAAAGAGAUUGUUAUCAGCAUAUCAAGUGACAGCCCAACAGAAAUUGGUCAUACAGGUACUAGUAAUACACGAAUAUAUAAUCAAGUUCAGAAAGUUAAAUGAAACUUGAAACAGCUAAUGGUCAUUACUCAAUUCACCAUUAUCAUAUUCCAAUAGUGAUAGAACUCUCCUAGGACAGGACAUUCAAAUAAACAUUUGAUCAAGUAUUUGGAAUAUUUUGGACUUGUACCUGGGUCGAAUGAUGUCUGUUCCAGAUAUGAUUACAGAUGAUGCCCGACCAUGAUAACCAACUGGUAAAUGAAACCUGAGUAAAACAAGUGAAUGUUUCAGGUUAGUGACAUAAUGAACAACACCUGUGUAUUAGUAUCAAAUAAAUGUGUGGUAACAAACGACUGAACAACAUGCAGAAAAAUGCACAAACUUCAUCAGUCUGUAACGCAUGAAAUUUUAGCAGCAGUAACAAAAACUCAUAUUAUAUAUGCUUAGGUCCAGGGCAUAUAACCCAAACCUUAACUGUAUGACCAUGACAAGAAUCUUCAUAUUAGCUGGGCUCCAAUUUGGAUCCAGCAGAAUCAGAUUGCACCAAGUGCAUUGCCCAUACAUGACGAGAGCAUGAUUUUUUUUCCCCAGAGAACAGAAAAGCAGAGUUCAUACACAAUCCUAAAGUAAACUGAUUGACAUACUUGAUCUAAUCAUAGUGUCGAGUCGUCGACAAAAUAUAUGGUCAAAGAGAAAAAAAAUUACCAAUUUGGAUUGACUGGAGUCUGUGGUCCACGGAAGAUGAACCCACAAUUCCUUGCAUGGUGCACGGAACAAAAGAAAUCUGUGUAGUCUCCUACCGUGAUCGGUAAAAGCAUCUCUGCAUCACUCUGCAUGAUUGAAACAGGACAUCAGCUAUUUCAUUAAUACUCCUUUUGUUUCUCUCAGAAGAGAAAAAGACUAUAUCCGUGUCAAGCUCACCAUUGGCACAAGGCAGUUCUUCCUCAAGGCCUCGUUAUCACGCAAGACUGGCUCGUCAGCUGCAAGGAAACAUGCAAGUGAAAAUCAGGAAAAACAUUCCUUCAAGAUCUUUACAUCUCCUCUUUCAACAACUAUGUUAUGUGCGCCACAGAAAAACACAUAACUAUAAUCAACAGAAACAAAGCUAAGACCACAACACAAUCUCUUUUUCGAAAGAAAAACCACAUUAUACGAACAGGCCAUGAGCACUAUUGAAACUUGCACUUGUUUGCAAGUCAUGAUAGAUUACAUCAGCAUCAUAGCCAGCAACCCUCGCUACGAGUAGACUAUCAUGAUUACUCGCCACAAUCACCAUGUUAGCAUUGCAGCAGUAAUAACAAAGUAAAAAAUCACACGCCCGAAAAAUAAUAACCAAAGCUAGAAAUUAUGAGAAGGAAAAUUUACCUGAGAGAAUUUUCUGGAGCGUGGCGCGCGCCUCCUUCCAGGCCGGCCGCCCCAUCCCCAAGAACAUGUUGAGCGUUUCCUGCGCGCACGCAGCAGUAAAUAUAAUAACGCAACCAAAUCACCCACUAUACUAGUGUACUAGCUACUGCAACAACUUCCGCAAUUCCCCAAAUAACCAAUCUAUGUAACCACCAAUUAGUUCGAAAAUUAAGAUGAGCAGCAAUCGCUCUCUGAACCCGUCGUAAGCAGCAGCGACCUCAGAUGGUGCGGAGGGAGCAACCAAGCAAGCAGGCAGGUAGGUAGGCGGGGCGCGGGUAGAUAGAGUACCUGGCGGAAGCAUGGCGACCCGGAGAGCACGGGCCCGUCGAAGAGUCCCGCGGCGGAGACGGAGGCGAGGUCGAGCGCGAAGCCCCCGAUGGCCACCGCCGGGCGCGGCGGGUCCUCCGGCUGGCUUUUCCGGCGGAAGACCCCGAAGGGCAGGUUCUGGAUGGGGAAGUGCGAGUCCCGCGGCACCUCCACGAACGACCUCAGCUUCGCCUCCGCCAUUGCCGACUCCUCUCUCUCUCCCUGUCCCUCUGCGCUCGUCGUGUGUGCUUCCUUGUUUGGUACCAGCAGGAGACAGCAACGGGUGGGCGGAGCGAGCGAGAGAGAGAGACAAAGAGAGGGGCAGCCUUAUAAAUAGACGUCAGAGUAGGGGCACACGUAUAGGCGUGGGUCACAGGCCUGACGUGUCCUUCCCGUGUUUUAUGUACGCUCCGCAUUCAAAUACUUGUAAAUUUUGAUUUAUUUUUUGUGUGUGUGUAAUUUGUCUGUAUUGGCAUCGGGAUUAAUCAGUGUCCAUGGUUUUACAUUUUAUCCAAGAGCGUCAGUAUGUUUUACGUAAACAGGUGUGUAAUUGAUCGCGAUAGGAGUACUGAUCUUCAACUGGUACGCCUAGCACGGUUUUAAUGGAUUAGGACACAUCACCUUUUUUUGGAGUUGUAGUCCAUUGAUAAACAGAUAUAUAGUUACGGAUAUAUGUAUAGAUAAGAUCAAUUUGAUUUUUCUUUUCAAAAACAGAUCAAUAUGAUUUACUUGGGUUGAUAUGUACUUAUACGUGUAGUCGACUCAUGGAGAGACCACUGUGGCCACGGCGUGAUACCGAUGCUUACGCCCUACUGUACGGUUAUUCUCGUUCUCGUGUGUGCGUAGUUGUUGUGACUGCGGGGUGUCUCUCUGACUAUCUGGUGGAGAGAUGUUUGUUCUGCUUCGGCUUGUCUUCGGUUCAAUCCAGCAGCUCACAUGUUCAAAUAGAAGUAGACAUUUCUUUUUUUUUUUGAAACACAGCAAGCACUCACAUACACGCAUGGACACUCACCCUUGUGAAUGUAUGCACGCACACUCUACUCCUGUGAGCACCUCCGAGAAACUGAUGAGCCACCUUUAUGAAUGUACGCACGCACAUCCUGCUCCUGUGAGCACCCCCGAGAGACUGAUGAGCCACCGGCCGAUCAUCUUGAGAUUGACGAAAUCACUGCAUGCGCCUCGUAGUUGACGGGUACAUCACUCCCAUUGAAAACACAACGCCGAUUAAAGCCUGGAAUAAAUCCAAAAAAUGCGAGCACACAUGCCAAGUGUGAGACUUGAACCUGGGUGUGCUGAUUCCACCACAAGGUACCAACCACCUGAGUUAGUCUCAGUUCGCAGAAGUAGACAUUUAUUCCGCGCAAUAUAGCCCCUAUGUAUCAUCCGAUAUAUUUUGAGCCUUGCUUUUAUCCACAACAGCUUAAAAGAAAACUAAUAAUCAUGACAUAAUAACAAUCUUUGCGCAAAAAAAAGAAAGAUAUAAUAGCAAUCUGUUGUUGUACUUGAACAAUCAGAAACCAAGAUUUACUUAGCGCCCGUGGUUCCAUUUGAGGAAGCGGAAUAAUGAACUUAAAAUGUACCAUACUCCAUCCAUUCCAUGAUAGUACAAAGACAACAAAAAUUUAUCUUAGUUCAAAAAUUUAAAGCUUGAAUAAAGUUGUGAUUUUUUUUUGUCAACGUCUACAAUACCUAAUAUACUAUAUCCAACGAUAUCCAAUAUAUAGACAUUGACAUUUCUUUAUUUCUUGAAAGUACCUUGAUGUUCUAGUAACCUUGAUGCAGUAAUACUGUAGUUAGAGCUCAUGGUUCUAGAAAGCCACAGGUAAGGGCGCUGCAAUAACGACACUUUCGGACUCGAUCUUCCUCUUUUUUGCCUCUGUUUUCGUGGCGGUGCGGCGAGGAAUACGUUGCGUGUGGAGCAGUGCUGGGCUGCUGCCGCUCCCCAAAUCUGUGGACGCAGCGAUGGCAGCUGGUAAAUCUAAAAAGACCAAAACGAAAAUAACAGAAAAAAAAACCCAAAGCGACAGCGGCUGGUGUUUGGUUUCAAGUCCCGUGGUAGCAGAAACUCGGUAGCACGUGAGAGCGACGAGGCCCGUCUCUCGCAUCGCACAGCCAACCAACCGGCACCACCCGUAACCCGGCUUAGCAAAGAGACAAGAUAAGUUGUCUGAUUCCAUUGCAUACUUUUAUGUUGCAUAUGUUUAAGCACAAUAUUUUCAUUUCAUGGACAAAUCGAACCGUCAGAAUCGAACGACUUGCCCGUAUUCAUCGCCAAAAUUCUCUCCGAGAAAGAAGAACCGCACCGAUAAUUUUGCAUAUUUUACAGUUCUCAGCAGUUAACGCCCACAACACAAGUUGGGCAACGCUGCGGACUCAGGGGGAAUCCAACAAGGGCCAGUGACUGAAAGCCCCCAACUUCGGCUCAAUGCGGAUGGUGCCUUCCAACAUUUACUUUGCGGGAAAAAACUUAGGAUAUUCUGGUACACAGCCUCUUCAGUCUUCAGGGAGGGGAAAAGGAAACAGGGUGAUGUUGGACUGCUAGGGCGGGCUGGAGAACAGCAGAGAAGCGUUGGUCCCGCCAAACCCGAAAGAAUUCGAGAUGGCAGCUCGUAUGGGCAUCUUCUUCGCGGCGGUUAGAGGCAUGAACGCGCCUUCAAACAGCGGGUCAGGCUUCUCCAGGUUGAGCGUGGGAGGCGCCAGCCCCUGUAAAUUGUUAGGUAAUGCUGAGUACAGACCACAGAACAGUUUUCCAGUACUGGAACUACUGAUCACUCAGGGAGGGUAACAUACAUGAUGGAUUGCUAACACGGUGAAGAUUGCUUCCACUGAUCCAGCUGCACCUAGCAGAUGACCAAUUGCUCCCUAGAGAGAUAGUUGUGUCAGUGCCAGUAAAAAUGGGGUAGUGAAGGAAGUGUGAUACUACUAAUUUAGUGUGCCGAAUUGACUGAACGAGGUACCUUUGUUGAGGAUAGCGCAAGACCACCGGAUGUCACGUGUUGGCCGAAGACAGAUUUGAUUGCACUAGCCUCCACAGCAUCCCCUAAUUGUGUACACAUCCAAAGCAUUAAGUUACUUAUCAUGAUUGCAGAUGGUACAGAAUCAGAAACACAAGUGAACCCCAAAAUAGAACAAACAGAGCCAUGACAGUUCAGAUGGCUUUUGCCAGGUGAAUGUGAGCACCUACCAAGAGGAGUUGAUGUUGCAUGCGCAUUCAAAUAAUCAAUCUGAUCUGCCUGGAGUCCUGACUGGAAAACAGCAAAGAAUUUUAUCAAGGUUAUUAAAAUCACAGUGUCAAGAGAGCAAAUUUGUGAUGUAGUUUAUAAUUCCUGAAAGCUGGUCAAGUGUCAAAAAUGUGCCACACAAGAAUUAGAGGAUGGAAAUGUCGCACCUGCUCCAAUGCCCGCUCCAUGGCUAAGAUAGCACCUCUACCAUCAUUUUGUGGCUGAGUAAUGUGGUGUGCAUCACCUGACAAAAGCUGAGGUUCAUAGUGCAAUACAUGCUAAUGCAAAAUAAACCAUCUAUUUUGUGGAAUAGGAGGAUACCAGACAUGCCAUAGCCUCGAACUUCUGCAUAAAUCUUUGCACCCCGUUCUGUUGCAUGAUCGAGUGCCUACAGAAGAGUAAAUGGAUAACCUGGUAAGCAAAUAAAAUGCACUAACUAAGACAGUUUCCAGACUAAAAGUCACAUAUACCAUAAAGAGGAGAGAGCAAAUAUCAAAACCAUAAAGGAGUAAGAUGGUAAUUAAAUACUCAAGUCGGGUCAGGCCAAACUCUUUAACCAAGUGCUGUGGAUUUUACCAACAAGACUGAUUUUAGGAAACAGCAAGGUAAAUGACCAGUGUUUCAUUCUCACCUCCAACACCAUGACUCCACAACCUUCACCGAUCCUAUUGGUUAUUUUAAAACAAAAGAUAAGAACAGGCACAAGGGAAGGAACAGAAAAGGAAGAAUAGAAGAUGAUCCAAUAGAAGUAUGACAUACACAAAUCCAUCUCUACCACAAUCAAAGGGCCUCGAAGCCGCUUGCGGAAGAGAGUUGUAUUUUGUAGACAAUGCCCUUAACCUGCAAAAGAUUACAACAAAUUAAGAUAAUGUUGGCAAAUUAACACUGGGUGGUUUCUCUAAUAGAAGCCGGAAGGGGCGAGCCCUUCUUUUUCAAAAGAAUUAAAAAAAAGUAGUGGUGAGAGGGAAAGCAGAUUUAAAAAGUGAAAUAGUUAAUGUAACUAAGUUGGAACUAAUGUGUGACUAAGUUUUCAUAUGAUAUUUAUUAGCCACAGGUGGUCUGUGGACAAAAUAUGGGUUCUCUACUGCAUCCUACAACCCUCACUCAAUAGGUCUACCUUCUAUCCGCACUAAAGCAUCCAAGGCAAUUCAUAAUUCUCCUAGAGAGCAUCCAGAAAGAGUACUUCCAAAAAAGGACAAACAAAACAAUUGUGAAGACACAAACAUACUUGCCUAGAAAAUCCAGCUAUAGACAAAGCAUCAAUACUAGAUUCUGUUCCUCCAGCCACCAUCACAUCUGCAUCUCCAAAUUGAAUCAUCCGUGUAGCAUCACCAAUAGAGUGAGCGCCUGUGGCACAAGCUGUCACAGCAGCAUGGUUUGGACCCUAAGUUUGAAGCAUUGACUAUCAAUGUUAGCACUCAUGUGAUAAGUCAACAUGGAAAAAAGCCUUAACUAUGGAUACAGCAAUAACAAUGUUCACCUGGAAACCAUAUUUCAUGCUGACAUGACCUGAUGCCAUGUUGAUCAAAAUCUUGGGGAUGAAGUAUGGGCUGAGGCGACGUAGACGCUGCACUUGGAAGAAAAAUUAAUCCAGUGCUGGAAGUAACCAGCAGAUAUUCAUUUAUAUUACAAGUCAUGCAUGGCACUGCAGGUCAAAAGCUUAGCAACAACAUAGAAAUUGGUUGCUUUCCAUGUAAUUGAAGGAUUCAAAAACCAGAUAUGGAAAGAAAAAAACACCAGUCCUGUCUGGUAGCAAUUACCAGCAGUAGUUUUGGUCUUGUCAUUUUUCUCAAUUAUCAAUCUGUGCACUAAAAUUGAAUUUAUCCAGUCCCUGCCCGGUUAGCAACCAGUUCUUCUGACCGUUGAUUCAAAUCCACAUGUACUACCACAAUUUUCUUCAAACUUAGUUGAAUGUUAAUCAAAACACCAAAAUAUCUUUAAGUGAGACAGGUGCCCACUGGUAAGGCUAGUGACCAGCCAGAUACUGCUGUUAGUUUCUUCCUUUUCUAACCCAAACAUCUGAUAUCUCUCGGACCAAGGUAGAAGUAGAACACACAGAGCUCUCGGCAACACACCUCUGCCUUUUCUCUUGUUCAAUUUCACAACCUGAAUACAUGGCUUUAUAUAGCCAGACCAACAUGACCGAGCAGCACACACGCGCACAGGUUGCAUACUUGCAUGUAACAAAGCCAGUAACUAACUGAUCCACUAAACUCUCCACUUGCACAUGCCUCAACGUUCACAUGACCAAGCCAAACAUGCGUACAUGCAGCCUAACAGAACUGAUCCCUAAGCUCUUGACUAAUUCUAGUAUAUCUGCAUGCAUAGACUCAACUAAUGGCUGCCAAUCCGCACGCUUGCACUGCGCGCACUCUCUCUAUCUCGCUUAGUGCUGUGCUCUCUUGCCAAUCAUGCCUCUCUGCCAUGUUUAUGCGUACAGCUAGCUAAAGCUUAGCCAGCAACUAAAACAACAUCAUGCAAUUAGAAAUAAAAAUGAGACUAAACCUAUACAACAAGGUUAACUCCAACAACAUCUAACUCUGUAUUUCUCACUCAGCACAUAGGAAACAAAUAAUAGUGGAAAAAUACUAUAGUUGCACAAUGACAAACGAUACAAAAGGAGAAGAGCAAGAACAAAACAAAUUGCAGUCUGUGCAUACGUACGAACAUUUUCAGUGAUCGUCUGUGACGCAUCUAAAAUGUCUGAGAUACUUCCGAUUCCCCCGCCAAUUGAAACACCCUGAUAAAGCUCUAAUCAGUUCCAGUAACUCAGAAAAACACACAAAAAGGUAAACAGCUUCCACCAAAGAAAAUUGGUACCGUUCUUUCCUUCUUCGCAUCUUCCGAAGGCAGCCAAUUUGCAUCUCUCAAAGCCUCAUCAGCUGCACAUAGAGCAUAUGCUAUAAAUCCCGAUAUAGAUCUACUGUCCUGGAAACAAAAAUGUUUAAUCAACAGUACAUAAUAUGAAACAAGGUUUGCCGGACAGACACACAUCACCAUUAGAUAUUUACAGUCAUGCAAUAACAUCUCAUCAGAACAUAACGGUUCCCACUUUCAGAUGAUUGAGCAGUGGUGAAACACAAUGAACAGGAUAUUAAUAACUUUUUAUCUACUUCAAUCAUACAAAUAUCUAAUAAAAAUGAGGCAAGAUUAAACAAAGUAAGCACUGCGAACUUGAAGACUGGCAGUCGUAAUGGCACGGAAGAUAAGUGUCCUUAUAUCAUUACCAGUUAUCAAAUUACACAAAAAAGUUGCCACAUUACAACACUAAACCGAUUUUUGCAACAACGACUACUGGAAACCUUGUUUACUAGUAUCAUUAAACAUACUCAUUUAAAUUUCUCUUGAGCAGCUUAUAUAUGAAAUCCAAGUUUGAAUGAAUGAUAUUAAGAAUGCCAACUAGCAAUGCAUAUAUGGGCAGGGCAAUCACUGGUAGUCGUGUCUCGCAGCGACAGUGAGAAACCAAUAGAUGCUGGAUAAUUCGGGGGUAGUAAAGUAUCAGUCAGCAACCUUAGUCCAGGCUUCCUCGUCGAACUCGUUCUCGCCCUUCCCGCGCGGCACGGCGGCGGCGACCCUGGACGGCAGCUGCUCCAGCGUUCUCCCGGCCGCGUCCCCGGUGAGGCGGAGGUCCCCCGCGGCGAGCGCGCGCACCGCGCAGUCGCCGGCGACGAGGCGGUCCCAGGUGGUCCCGACGCCGCGUCCGAGCGGCGUGACGGCGCCGAGCCCCGUCACGACCACGCGGCGGCCGGCAGACGGGCGCGGCGGAGGUAGCUCCGCCGCCGCCGAGGAGAGGCCCCGGCGGAGGAGGAGGAGGGCGCGGCGCAGGCGGGUCAUCUCAUCAGGAGCUGCCGCAAAGUUGCCAAGCUUUGUGGGCGGCCCAUCAGUUGUCGCUGGCACGGAGGGACGGGCGCACGAGCGGUGGUGGGUGGGCUGGGCUGCUGGGUUUCGGCGGCGGACUUGUAAUUCGGGCCACGCUGGAAUGGGGGGAAGAUUUAGGGCCCACGUGACAGCCACCUAAAGUCCACAUGACAUAGCUGAAUCCUGCAUAAUGGAGCAGUGCUCCCUCCGUCUCAUACGGAGUAUUAAGGUCCGGUUCUUUUUAGCCAGAGCUUCUCCAGAAACGGUUUCAUCUCUUCAACCUCCAGAAACUGUGGCGGGAAGAAGCUCCUGUCCAGUUUUUUUCGGCUUCUGGCAUCUCAACUUAUUAUCUGAGCUGUUUGUUGAAAAGUUUGUACUCCCCUUCUCUGAAUUUAUGCUUUAGCUUUUUGAGAGUUAUUUCGUGCUGAAUGUAAUACACGUAUGCCGGAUAAGACGAUAAAAAAAUUGCUAAAUAUUAAAAUCCAUAAAAGUGCUAAAUAUGAAAAAUCAUAAAGGUCUAAAUAUUAAAAUUAAUAAUACGCAUUGUCUUUAAUACUUGAUAGUACCCAAAAUAUUACAUAAAUGAUGGGUGUCAACAAAAGGACGUCAAAUAUAAAAACCGAUAACAACUACUCCGAAGGCACGAGGCUCGCGGCAAUUAGCAUCACGUAUUGUGGCCAUUGUGCCAUCAUAGGUCGGUGCUUGGGCAUCUGCACCUGCAGUAGGUCCAUCUUCAUGAACAUAUCCUCCUCUCUCAACCUCAUUAAAAUGCUGAUCACGCACCUUGCUAUCACGAAUGUAGUUAUGUAGACACGCGCAUCCAGUAACUAUCAUUUUCUGAGUCAACAGGAUGUACCUUGGUAUGCGAAGGAGUAUUCGCCAUUUCAUCUUAAGAACACCAAACGAUCUUUCGAUGACAUUCCUUAAGACGAAUGGCGAUUAUUGAAGAUCUCUUUUCUUCCAAUCGACAGGUUAUGCUCGAACUCAGGCACAUGGUAUCGCUGCCCUUUGAAUGGUGCGAGAUAUCCAACUCUAUUUGGGUACCCGGAGUCGACAAGGUAGUUUUUCCUAGUGAGAAGUAAACACACAUUACAAAAUGAGAAUUUGGCAAACAUAACAGACAUACGAAAUAAAAAUGAAUACCUGCCGGCGGUUGUGGAUAAGUGCUAUAUUCGACCAUAGCAUCUGACCAUACACGCGUGUCAUGAACAGAUCCAAGCCAUCCAGAGACAACAAAAGUGAAUCUCAUGUCAAAAUCACACAUUGCCAUCACAUUAUGACUUGUAAACCCUUUCCUGUUCAUGUGUUUGAUCUCCUCUUCCUUAGGCACAAUCACAGGAAUGUGUGUUCCAUCUAUGGCCCCAAUGGCAUUUUUGAAAUGAGGCCAUAUUUUUUUCUUUUUAAGUGUGGGAUGCACAUGGCUGAAAGUUGGAUCUUUCGGACUAAGAUAAUCACCAGCCAUGCGAUCCACACAUUCCCUUCCCAUAUUAAGUGACUCAAAUUUGUCCAAAUAUGAAUGUAUCUAUGGUUAAAAUGCGUCUAGAUACAUGUAAUAGAAAGUCACUUAAUAUGGGACAAAGGAAGUACUUUUUACAAAUGUUUUCAGUGAAAUUUCAAAAUUGAACAAGCAAAACGCGUCGUGCCUUUGCAAGGAGAGAGUAUUUAGCAAAUACGACACGACUUGAAACAUAAUUAUACCAAUACCUCGGCCAAAGUUCAAAAUUGAAAGGGCAAAUACCGUGGUUUCAGAUCCGAGGAUAGCUAAGCGUGAACACUUGGCAAAGGAAUUUGAAUGACAACUUUUGAAGAACAACAUUGUCCUCAAAUUGCUUCAAUGUGGUUUCAAAUUAAGCUUAGAAGUUGGUUCGGUCUCAAUUCUUUUUGAGAGAGAUUUACUUCAAACUUAGGACCUUGAAACCUUGCUCCUGACAACAGUUUGCAUGUGGAAGAAGAUGACACGAGAUGUCAAUCGAGUGGAAGUAUGCUAGACAAGUCUGAGAGGGAUAUGGAGUAGAAAUGUUUGAGCAGGGAGUUCUGUCAGGUGGCCGUGGUAGCAUGGCCUGAGUUUGGCAUGUCCGUGGACAAACGGAUGAAUAGCAACGGUUUGGCAUGCCCCAUUGAAUGAGUUUUUCUUGUCCGUGGACAAAAUUGGACAAAUGGCUAGGAUUUGGCAUGUUCCCUCGGAGAUGCCUUUAGGUGCAGUCUUUGUGUCCAGCCCGCCUGUGGUCAAUGGUGCUCAUACGAUUGUAAUCAAACAUUUCUUCCGUAAUUCAAUCAAUGGUCCGUACCGCUUGUGGUGAAGGGUGCUCAUAUGUUCGUCAUACGUUCGUAAAUCAAAACUUUCCUCCUCUUAAUUCAAUCGAUGGCCCGGACCGUCUGUGGUCAACGGUUCUUAUACGUUUGUAAUCGAACAUUUCUUCGUCCUAAUUCAAUUAGUACCAAAGCUUUUGUGUUGUUCGCAAGAUAAAAACACAAAAGAAAAAUGAGGUUCGUUAGGAGCCUUCUCUUAGCCGAUUGGCCCUUGCACAAAGAAAAACUGUUCAUCUCGUAGCUAGUGUUAUUUCUAACAAUGAUGUUUGUACCCUUUAAAUUAUAUGUGUAUUGGAGUUUAAUUAGAAAACAGGUGACUACGAGAUGACAUAUGAAAAGCAUGUUUGACUUUGAGUGCUGAGAGCUCAUAUAAUGAUGUUGACAAGAUGACUCUAUAAGUGAAGGAGGGAGAAUGAAACAAAAAAAAAUUCAGCAAAGAGUAUCCUUGUCUUUGUACAUCAUCACACUAUAACAAUUCAUGUAGAGUCAGAUUAAGACACUACUCAACGUGACUCUUAAACAUGAUUUAGUUAAGAAUUAGUUAAAAGUCAACGUCUUUAUCCCUAUAUAUCAUUGCAUUUCAUGCUAACAAUUGCGCAUUAGCAACUAGCCAUUAUUUCAACGGUGAUACCUAACGUAAAAGAAAGAAAAGAGAAUAAAUCUUGGAGUGAGACUCUCAGGCCAUCCCCAAUGACAGCGUCACGUUAACGAUGUCGAUUCUUAGCUCAUAGUGACUCCUCACCAACAUCAGUCUCUCGCCGAUUCACCGAUGGAUGAAUAAUUAUGUUUAUCAAGGAACUAUACCAUCGCGGACGCUUGUGUGCGCGCGCGAAGAAGGGGCAGCGCCAGCAACAGUGGUUAGGCUGUCUGACUUCAUCAGGACCCUGACGUUCACAAAGAUUACGUGACAGAUACGUUUGAUUUUUCCACAAAACACGUGCGACAUUGAUUACCUUCUAGCCAUUAGGUUUUCUCCUUUGGGGCACAUUGAUUAAUCACUCGCUACGAUCUAUGAUCGUAAAUUCUUAACUCAAAUUUAUGAUGAAAAACGUAUAGAUACAUGUAAUAUUUUAACGAGAUCGGAGAUUUAUGAUGAAAAACGUAUAAAUACAUGUAAUAUUUUAACGAGAUCGGAGAGAGAUUUUUUUUUUUAUGGGGACGGGGACAUAAUUAGCUUUCCCGUCCACAAUAAACCCACGCCAGUAGGCCCAAACACUUCUCACUUCUCCUCCCCAAUCCCCAUGGCCUUCCCCCCAUCACGAGUUCCACAAGCGGGAUGCCGGAUGAGGACAGCGACGGCGGUUUGGCGCCAGGCGUGAUGCGAGACAGCGACCUGUGCCGGGAGCCCUCGAGCCUUCACGUGCAGCCUUCAGCGCCAGCAGUCGACGAGGGCGCUCGCUGUCGUAGCAGGUACUGGCUGGGGCCGGGAUUGGGUUUGGGCCGCUGUCCUCGCCGCAGGACGGGCUCGUGGCGGGGACGGCCACACCGGUCGCUGCUACAGAGAUGCCCUGCAGAGAGUAGAGCCCUCCUCCCCCCUUUUAAGAGCCACAUGCUGCGGGUAGAGGCCUCGAGCUCGCUGGGAGCCUGGGAGGGAGGAGCACGAAGAGAUGGGGAGUGAAGAGGAGGCGCAGUCGCUGGCGCUCACGCCGACGUGGGUCGUCGCUUCCGUGUGCUUCAUCAUCGUCGCCAUCUCACUCGCCGCCGAGCGCCUGCUCCACCGCCUCGGCAAGGUAUAUAUGCACGGCCCCGUUGUCCAUUAUUGCUUCGCUUCCUCUUCGUUUGUGUCGCUACUGUUUCUGUCCCCUCUCUGUUAAUCUGUUUAGUAAACAGAUUCUGCCUUCCUCUUUUGGGCAUGCCCAUUUUCGAUACUGAACUAUACUACUGCAGUUAUUUGCUAUAAAAAGUAUCACAUGGUCUAUUAGAUAUUCAUGUAACCAGUCUGAAUACUUUUGAGUGCAAACGACGUUUACAUUUUGUAACGUAGUAGUGUUACCUGUCAAGGAAGUGUAGUUAUUUGGUUCAGUUAACAAAUUACUGGUGGAUGUAUUGGUGUACUGAUGGAUGCACUUAAUUGGGUCACACCACACGCUUGGAGGCUUGUAAAACUACUGUAGAAGAUUAGUGACCUAAGAUAAGAGAGACAACUGGACAAGGACCUUUCGGGCAAAUUACUCUUUAGGAAAUAGCUAUCGAGCCAUAAAUUUCCAUUUAACAGUAAUAUCCGUAUGUUUUGCAUUUAAUCAUCUUUUACUUUGUGCAGCUUCUCAAAUUCAAUGGACAAGAAGCACUAUUUUCAGCCCUGCAGAGAGUCAAAGAAGGUAGCAUUAUCCUAGUUCUUAGUUCGAUUGCUGCACGUAGUGAUUUCUCACCACUUAUCUUCCCCAUCAUGGCUAGCACAGCCUGAAGAUACAGAUCUUACCGUGACCUGUAUAUAUUUUUUCCCUGAUGGAAAUUGCAACACCUGAGCUAAAUGUAAUCAAGAUGAAAAGUAGCUUCAGAUGCCAACCGACAAUAAUUUCCAUGAUGCAGGCGGCAGAAUAUUUCAAACCAGCUUAUUCUGGCUGCAGAGUACUAUUUGUUCACUGCCUAAUCUUAUUUACUGGUUAUUUGUGCAGAGUUGAUGAUUCUGGGUUUCAUUUCCUUCCUACUAAGCGUCUUUCAAAAUUUCAUCAAUCACAUUUGCAUCCCGGAGGCUGCUGCACGCAUCAUGCUUCCAUGCACUGCUGAGUCGUCCAAAGCCGCAGAAGAGGCUGCCAAACUUUGCAAGAGAAAGGUAGACCGUGAACUAUGAAGAUGGUACUUUAGUUAAGUUUAAUGUUGUUCAUUAUUUCCUAAAGAUUUGGUUGUACUGGAUAUUCGGAAGAGCCUGGAUUUCUCAAGGCAAUUCCAUGACCUGGCGGUGCUUGCGGUCCGGCGAUCACACGUUUGGACGGUGUGACAGGGUAGGAGAGACAGCAAGGCGUUAGGGACUCGAGGACUAUAUUGAUUAUUGCUUGAAUUGACUUCACGUAGCUGCCUCAGUAUAAAGAGGUCUGCCUUACAGAUUCCUAAUAGAACACAAGUAUUACUUCCCUAAACUGAUUAUGUUUCCUAAUCAACUAGGACUUUUGACCAGUUAGGAAUCACCCUGUUCUGGUCUACUCUGGACUCCGGCAGGUACCAAUCCUGCUUGAGGUCAAACUCUUAACUUGGCCUCGUCUGGUCCAGAGCUGCGCCUGUAGGAUAUACCCCACGUGCUGAACGAUAUUUCAUUGUUUACUGUUGUUCUUUCAUAGUAACCAUUGCUGUAUUCUGAGUAGCAAAACCUUAUCAUUCUAGUCAUUGGUCAUUGAUAGACAUUGCCAGUACCAAGCAUCACGGAGAAUAUUUGCUAUAUUGGUCAUUCUGAAACAUCAUUCUUGCAUUUAUGUAGGGUGAAGUUCCCAUGCUAUCUGAAGAGGCUUUGCAUCAGCUGCACAUCUUUAUCUUUGUACUUGGUGUGGUCCAUGUUGUGUUCUGUGUUACAACACUGUUACUUGGUGGAGCCAAGGUAUAGCUACUUUUACCACAGAUGAAUAUGUUUUUCACAUGACAUAGUAGUGAAAGUAACACAUUUAGGGUAAGCUCUUGUAGAUGAGAAAAUGGAAUAAAUGGGAGAAAGACAUUCACCAAGGAAAACUCAAGGAGCGCAGUACAAAUAGGGGUUGGAUGAAACCCCCUGCUGUAAGAUGGAUCGUAAGUAAGCUAGCCCUCUUAUUAUGCUUCACAAUUGUUGUAGAGUCGGCGGUAGACCCUGACUUCCUAAUACAUAUGAAGUUGACAUGCAUGAGAAUAAAAUGGAUUUCAGUUUGUUCUGUUCUACCAUACCUGUUCUGAAGUGAACCAAAUGACUCAUUUGGGUUCACUCAAACCAAUCUGCUUUUUGGAGUGGUAUUGAUUUCUUUUUGGAAGAGAAAAGUGCUAUGGAGUAUUAAAUAUUAAGUAUCAAACCCCAUGCCUUCACAUGAAUUAAAUAAGGGAAGCAUUGUGAGUAAGUUGCCGAAUAUUCGUUAUGUGUGGUCAAAUUAGCGAAAAAUGAGAAGAACACUUGAAUAUGAUCCAUUGUCAAAAGGUUAGUAUGGUCUGCAAAUUUAUUAUGACAUCAAGAUAUCAAUGUCAUGAGCACAAAGUGCAGUGCUGCACUUUUUGUAUUUCAGGUGCCCCUUUGCAACAAGGCAAUAUUAUGACUAAACAUUCAUGUAGCUUCAAUGCAAUGACUGAUCACAGUAAAACGAUGCUUUGUUAAGCAACUUAGCUUCUUCUGACUGUCAGAGUUGUUGCAGUAUUUCUGUGAUAUCUGGAGCAUUCUUGAUGUUCUAUUUUCUUCUCAAAUUCAAAUUAUGAAAUCGUUAUUAUCAUCUAGAUACUAAUGCCAAAGGUUUUAUUCUUAUAUGAUUUCAGAUUGCAUUCUUCAAGCAGUUUUAUGAUUCUGUGGGUAAACCAGAUUAUCAAGUACUUAGGGCAACUUUUGUUCAGGUAAGAUGUACUGUUCAGUAACUUCUGCUCAUAACUGUCCAUGUUUCCUUAGUGAAGCUAAAAUAGGACACUUUGCAUUUCCAGCGACACUACCCAAACCGUCCGGACUUUGAUUUCCACAAAUACAUGGUUCGUGCUCUCGAGCAUGACUUCAAAGAAGUUGUUGGAAUCAGGUUGGUGUUUGGAUAAAGUUCCGGCUUUGAUUGCUCUAUAAUACAUACUGUUCGUUUGAUUUAUCUAAUGGAGUAAUGGUACUCAAUUACAUGCAGCUGGUACCUAUGGGUUUUUGUUAUCUUCUUCCUGCUGCUGAAUAUAAAUGGUAACUCCCAAUCCUAUGUUUGUUUGGACCACUGAAUUCAAUCACACUGAUUUUCCCGUAUGUUAAGAUAUGCUGAUCCUAGAAGAACAACACAAUUUAGAUUGUAACCAUGAGUUUUUUUAAUUUACUGUCAAUGCAGGGUGGCACACAUAUUUCUGGUUGUCUUUCUUGCCCUUAAUUGUAAGUAUCAGUAACCUGGACAAUUCCUAUGUCACUCCAGUAACCAAACACACUCUUCAGUUUCCAUAAUGGAAGAAAUUCUUAUCUGCUUGGGGAAAUAAACUUGCAGUUGCUGCUUAUUGUCGGCACAAAGCUGGAGUACAUAAGCACUCGGUUGGCACAAGAAGCCGCAGAGUGUCAAGAUGGAGCAUCAGGAAACCCCUGGACGAAGCCAUGCAAGGAGUACUUCUGGUUUAGCCACCCUAGAACUGUACUCCAUCUGAUCCAUUUCAUCUUGUUUCAGAAUUCCUUCGAGAUGGCAUUCUUCUUCUGGGUCUUGGUAUGUUUUAUGUUUAUGUUAAGAGAAAGUAGAUCACAAACUAUAAAAAUGAGUAAAUCAGAAGCACAGAACCAUGGGGCUAACUAGCUAACUGGUAAACUUCACAGGCGACAUAUGGGUUCGAUUCAUGCAUCAUGGAGAACAAAUCCUAUGCCCUCCCCAGACUUGCCAUUGGGUUAGUAUAGAGUCUCCAAUUUCUUUACCUUGAUCCCUUUUUAAUUAGAUACGACAGCAGAUAACUGAUUGUUCUAUUUCUGUGUUGGACUUGCAGCAUCAUCGUCCAGGUGCUCUGCAGCUACAGCACGCUGCCACUGUACGCCAUUGUCACCCACGUAAGAUCUCACCACAUCGACCUUCAAACUAGAAUCUGAGACGAUUCAUGGUAAUUUGACUUUGUUUUGGAUUGGAUGGAUAUCACACAGAUGGGCGGGGACAUCAAGCUGCAGGCGUUUGGGGAGCACGUGCACGUGUCGGUGCACAGCUGGGCGACGGACGUGAAGAAGAAGGCGACGUCGCUGCCGGCGCACCCACACCCGCACUCGCACCUCAGGAUCCCGUUCCUCUCCAAGAAGAGACACAGCUCUCGCGGCGCCCACGCCGAGGAGGCCGCGGCCCAGGCCAGGGACGCGGAGCAGCACUACGCUGGGAGCUCCGGCACGCCCACCGCGCCACCGGAGGCUCCGCCGGGUGACGACCUGGAGGAGAUCGUCGUGACGAGGACCGAGGACGGCCGCCAUCAUCCUAACGGUGGUUUCUCGUAGCUAGCUACCACACACACGUACGCGUUUGCGUUUCCUCGCCGGCGUCCUGCGGGCCGAGAUCAGUCCCAAGUGACCUGUUGCCGGCUUUGGCGCUCUGGUGCACGCAUGUAUGCCUGAAUGCACCUGAGAACAGGCUAGAUAAGCUAUAGGAGACGCUACUAGCUAGGACAUGUUGCUAUACUAGACACUCCGUGAGAUCAAUGCUUUGAAACUUUUUGAUCAUCAAUAAAUAUCACCUGAUUGUCUAGCUUGGAAAUUAUGAAAGCAGUAUGCAGCGACCUACAUUUGUUGUAUGCAGAUUCGAUCCCUGUGACUUCAGGAUUCAGGUUGAUGUUGCAUUGAAAAUAAUUAGGACAUUUAAUUUAGUUUCAAAGACAUAUAGGAUCUCUUCCAGCAAUUAGGGCAUUAGAUUCAUCCUGAUGGGGAAAAGCAAAUCCCAUGAUGUCAGCUAGAACCAAAUUAAGACGAGCUCUCUCUUAACUAACAUCAGCUCGCGACUAGCUUGACCAGCGCGUAUGCAUGCACGCGAAGGAUAGGAGCUCGAUCGACCUCUUCAUUCUGGUUUGCAAAUUAACCAGCUGACAUGGAUCGAUCAUGUAAUGCAAAACUUGUGUGAUUGUUCUAUUUUCAGUAAGAAUGGCACGCGAAAGAUAAGAGCUCGAUCGACCUCUUCUUCUAUUUUCAGUAAGAAUGUCACGGGCCGGACCUCAACAACUUGUUUACUUGUUCCUGCAAAACUAAAUUUGUAAAAAAUCAUCCUGGAGAUCUAUUAUGUGAAAAGAUUAGUUGUUAGGUCAAACGUAUAUGAAAGUGUGGUCUAAAUUUUCCAUGGCCAGUACCGAAUAACGGGGGUAGAAUAUUAAUUUUUCCGAUUAACAAAAAAUGUGAUGUUUGCUGAUGCAUGAAGCUCAACAUAGAUACUCAUAGAUGCAUGGGGCCGACAGGAAUGCCUUCAGUAAUGCAUUAAAGACUGGCGCGCUAGCAUGCAUGCAUCAGACUGGCGAAUUGGACAGAAUCACCAAACUAAAGGACAUUCAGGUUGUAGUCAGUUAUGGUUAGGUUAAAAAGCUAGCCUUCUGGUUUGCUAGAAAGAUUUAAGUGAUCCCGACGAAAGGAAGACUGCAAUCACCUCUGAUUCUUUCCCCUUGUUUCUUCUCGAGAGCAUGCCCUACAUAUUUUUCGGUUCAAUAUAAAAUUUUACUCACGAUCGAUUGAGAUACAUAUAUAAGAUAUAAUACACAAAGGACAGGAUGAAACUAUAACUAGUCAAACAAAAGAACUUUUGGAAUAGAAAGGGACAGUGAGCAAUGCCUUUUGGCCCUUCCUUCUCAUCCAACCAAUUGAAUGAAGUUUUUAUCUCCAUAUGAGCCCUACACAAUGAAGUCGCCGUAAUGGAGUCGUCCUAGCUAGUUCUAGCUGCAUGAGUGCAUGCAUAUGGCAUGGCAAGGCAUGGAUCUCUUGGAGGAACCAAUUAAGAAGGCAUGCAUGGCGUGACAUGGCUCUCUUUUUAGGAAUCAAAUAAGAAGGGGCAUGCAUGCUAAGAUCCCAAUGCGAGAGACACAUGGGUCCAUAUAUCCAAAAGGAAAAUGAUCCAUGUUGAGAGAGAGGGGGCAGCUCAACAGGAGAGGUUUAAGGAUCUCAGGUUUUGCCACCAAAAAGGGGGUGCUUGGUGUUGAGAAAUCCCAUGAUUUUGUUUUCGAGGGGACAGGGGUCCAUGAACUAGGGUUGUCACUGAUCGAUGCAUGGGGAUCAUGCAUGCCAUUGUCUAUAUAUGUUCUGCCAAGGACAGCUUACCAGCAUAUAUACCGGCCUGGGGGCACGAAUUAUGAACUAGGAACCACGGCCCUUCUUAGAAAAGAGUAGGACACGAGACCCCCUUUUUUUUCUUUCUUCUUUUCUUGCGGGUAGAGACCGUUUUCUUUUGGGUCUACCUACACCGGUCGACGAGAUUAGGCGACCUAAGAAGGUGUUUGGACUGGGGGUAUCAAGGAGCUUAAGUAUUUAGUUCAAGAUAUAAACAAGUGCUAAUUUGCUGGCUAUAUGGAAAUAAAAAUUGUAACGCAACCUUAGCCUUAGAAAAAUGGAAAAAUGUACACGAAAAUUCGGUGCUACCCUAGGCUUUGCAAUGUGUAACUACGUGGUCAGCUAUCUAACAAAAGGCAUCACCACUGGCUAAAAAAAAUGGUUAAGUUUGUUUGCGAGCUUUUUUCUGUAUUAUAGUUAGUUAGAUUGUUAAUUUUUGUUAAAGAUCUUUUUAGGGGGAAAAAGGAUGAGGGGUAUGGAUGACCAGUUGACCACCAACUUCUGGUUAAGAAUAUAUAAAUAGUACUCCCUUCGUUCCUAAAUUUUUGUCAUGAUUUUAGUACAAAUUUGAACUAAAACCACGACAAAAUUUUGGGAACGGAGGAAUAGUAUAAUAUAACAAUGGAUUUUACACGUACAUAUCAACAUAUCUUUUCCACUCUCCUAUGGAUGUAAGCUUGUCGGAAUUCUGGGUCGAUACAAGAUAGCAAGACCGUUUUGUUUUAAUAAAUUUCACAAAAAAACGCAUAUAACGAUGAACCAUCACUAGUCUAGACAACUGAGUUUAUUUUCAUUCCGUGAGACUACAGCUUCCAGAAAAGCACAACAUCUGCAAGAGCGCGCACACAUCUGAGAAAAGGUAGGGAGGUAAGUAGUUUCAUGCAUAAUACUGUAGUUAAAUAAUUAACCGAGUACUAGUAAUGCACUGGCCUUUCGUAGCUCACAAGAGUGAUCAUUACCACUAAUAAGUACAACUAGAAAAGGAAGGCUACCCAAUUGGGGAUUAGUUUAUGGCCAGUGGCGGCCAAAGCAUGAUUAGUUAUAAUACAAACAAUCGCAUCAAACACCAAGGGGAGCAAGUGAAAUCCGUGGAUAAAUUUUAAAAAACGAAACCAAUGUCUUAAUCCACAAGAUCCUCCUCAUUACUUGAGGUUGAACAGAAGAAUUCUGCGUACCUAGACCUAAUUUUGCAAGAACAAGGCCAUGGGUGUACAUCGCUUUAAUCAAUUACAAUUAGCACUGCAGCUAGCUAGCUAGCAUAAGAGCAGUGAGAAAUGAAGAUAUGUGCACUAAAAUUAAGCAAACGGUUUUGUAUAACCACUCCACCAGUAUUAGAGGGAAAGUUGAAGAUAAGAGCAAAUUAAGAGAGAUCUAGGUGUAAAGCAAAGAUGAAAUAAUUAGCAGCGGUAGCUAGCUAGUGGCGCGUGGUAGAAGGUUUACCAAAAGUUGAAUGCCAAAGAUCCUCCCCAAGAUCUCCCAAUGGCGCCUAGCACGCAACGUACGUGUAUCCCAAGGGCGGCCACAUCUUCUUCAUCUCUACCUUCGUCUUGCUCCGUUGAGAAUGAGAAUGGCAAGCAGUGGCAGGAGCUAUCCGGCCAUGUCCUUGCAUAGUUGCAUGCAUGCACCCCUGAUUCGUAAGCAGAAACCUCAGAAAACCAUCCCCAGCAACGUACGGCAAUGUCGAGCGAGCGAGCAUCGAUCGAGCUUGUUGCUCCAUGAGGUUCCAUUGCUUAAUUAAUGUUCCGGCAUGCAAUGCGAUCAUUGGAGUAGCUAGCUUGGGAGCAAAAAGGCAGUGAUGGAGCAGUCCCGCUGUAGGUCGAACAGUUAGCGUGCAUGGAUCAAUCACGCUUGCUACUGCCAGGACGAGACCGACAUGAGCGGCCGCCGCUGCCACCCGAGGAAGCACGCGCCAUGGGCCUCCUCCGCGGCGUAGCCUUCCGACGGGUAGUGCAGCCGCAGCAGCAGCCUCGCCUGCGCCGCCGCGAACGCGCUGGCCGGCCGCGGCGAGAGCCCCGCGCCCCGCGCCGCCGCCGCCCACGCCUCGAACCCGCGUGUCCUGCUGCCGCUCCCGCCGGCGACUACGGCGUCGAUCUCCCGGCCGAGGAUCUCCUCCUCCACCGCCAUCCGCUCCGCGCUCCCCGGCGGCACCGUGGCCUCCAGCGCGUCGAACACCGCCGCGUAGUAGAGAUCCAUGGCCGCCGCCACCCGCCUCGGCAGCUCGUCCGCGGGUUCGCUUGAUCCUUCCCUCUCGGCGAUGGUGAGCACGGCCGGGUUCAUCGAGUUAACCCACCGAAGGAACGUGGCGAGCUCCCCGUCGUUGGAGAGCCGGUGGAGGAAGAAGACGCAGUUGACGGCCAGCGUCUCCUCGUCCGGGUGCAGCUCCAGCUCCAGGCCGGCACUGGCCGCGCCGGGGCAGGGGAGGAGGAGCGGGUGGAAGCGGAAGGGGAGGUCGAUGGAGGCGGCGAAGGCGCGGAGGCGGUUCCCCGUGCGGAGGAGCGCGUCGCGGUCGGGCCCGGCGCCGGUGACCCGGACCUCGACGGGCGGGUCGUCGGCGGCCCGGUCGCGGAGCGCCUGCAGGAGCGGCGGCCACUGCACGCCGUGCGCCGCGUCGAGGUCGACGAUGUGGAGCACGCGCGAGUGAUGCUGCGGGCGGUCGGCGUGGGAGGAGAAGAAGGCCUCGAGGAUGGCCUGGUUGGCCGUGAGGUGCGCAAACCGCAGGAAGGGCGCGAUCUUGUUGUACGCCAGGUAGGCCGCCGCCGCUGCGGCGGAUGACACCGACGACGAGGACGAGGAGGACGUGGACGCGACAGGCGCCGGAGAGGGAGAGUCGCCGCCAUUGUCGGGGGCGCGGAGGGCGAGGGCGCGCGCGAAGUGGUGCGCGAGGCGGUCGGAGGCUUCGCCGCGGGGGUCGGCGGCGGAGAGCGCCUGGUCCGCGAGGCGGCGCGCGGCGGCGAGGUCCCCGCGGUGCAGCAGGCCGGCGCAGGCGAGGACGAGCUCCCUCGGCGUGGGGUCGGGGCCGUGGUGCGGCGGCGAGGCGGAGGCGGUGGCGUCGUCGUCGUCGGGCUCGGGCGGGCCGAGCAUGGCGGCGUCAGCGGUUUGGAGUGGGCGCAGCAGCGCAUGGCUCGAGGGGCGGCUUAAUACUAGUACUAGCGCGGAGGCGGAGGAGGAAGAGGCCGCGGCAGCAUCUAAUCCUGGGCUGCUGCUUGCUGCCGCGGCAGGGGCUUCCGUGACAGCUCGACAUGAUCGAUCAUCUGCCACCGCCACGAGCCCACGAGCUAGCUAGCACGCUGGCUGCUGCACAGGUGUUUGUUGGAUUGGAUCCCUUCCCGGCAGACUCCAGAGAGAGGAGAGAAAAGAAGGUGGUGCAAAUGCUACUUUGCAAUUUGUUGUCUUUUAUCCCGUGGACUUUGGUGGUGGGAUGGUCAAGAUGUUCUCUCUUUUCGGGUUUAUUAUCUUACGUGCGGACGUGCGGUACAGAUGUAUACUCUUGGGCUGAGGGGAUCUCUGAUUUCUAUAAUCUCUAGUACAUUUUCGCCGCAAAUAGUAGGUGCAAGAAAAGAGAAUCGGUAAAGCAAGAUCACCGGAAAUUCUAUCAUCAGUCCACCAUAUCUCGUCCUUUUUCUCAUUUUUUGACACAGGCAACCCUUCCCAACCCACCGAGCUACUCCCCGGGUCAGAAUCGAUCUCCCGACUUGCACACCGGCGAUGAAUAUGCCGUUGUGGUUUUGUUAUGCAAAAAUAAUAAAGAAAAAGAGUGGUAGGGUCCAAAUGGAGUUUUAGUUAAUCGUUACAAAAAAAACUAAAAAUUAACUACCCCUCAGACACAUAUUACUUGUCUCAGAUUUUAACAAGUACCGACUGAAGGGAGUACUAUUACUUGUCUCAGAUGCCAAUACAAGAACUAUUUGCUUUAGAAGGAGGUGAAAUGUUUAUUUUAUAGUAGAAGAAGAUGAGAAGGUGACGGACCGCCGCCACCAAUCGGCUCUUUUAUAAGAGUAAAUGAUAAAUGAUUAGGAGGAUUCCCAAAACACAUGUAUAAGAAAAACGCAGGAUUAGGCGCUCUCUGGAUCAUAUGAAUUUUGGAAGAAAAAAUAGAGGAUUUCUAUACAUGUGUCCUUUAGAUCACAUGACUGUCACCAAAGGAAUGUUAUAAGAUAUCUUCGCAAAAAAUAAGGAAUGUUAUAAGAUAGGAUUUUUUUCCUUCAAAUUUUGGAGAAAUCCAAACAUGAGGUCUAGUUUGAUGAAAAAAUUUCUUUCAAAGUUUUGAUGCAUCUUUCCUCCAUAUCUCUCCUCUCUCUUAGUCCAAUUAAGUAUAAUUUAUACUCAAAAUUCCAGUAUUUUCCAUGUGUAGCAUUCAAACAAUUUAUGUGUUUUUUAUUCCUAUAGUAUUCAACAAGCCAUGGUAUUUCAAUUCUAAGUUUUUCCUAUUCCUAUGUUUUUGCAUUCCUGUUGAAUCCUAGAGGAUCGAAAAACUACAUGAAUUCGCAUCAAAGAGCGUUUGACACACCAUAGGAAAACAAAGAAAUUCUAGCAAAAUGUUUGAGUGGAUAAAAAAAAUUCUCCCCAAAAUAGAGUGCAAAGAAAUCCAUAGAAAAAAUUCAUAAGGAUUAUAUAGUUGUUUCAGAGAUUUUCUUAGCUUUCUAGAUGUUGUCUUCUCCCUUUCCCUUCUUAUUUUCCGACACCGGCCAUUUGUGUCUACUCUACCUUAAUUAAUGAAUCACAACACUCUUGUUGUUUGUAAAAAAAUUCCUCCAAAAGUCAUGAUGUUUACUCUCCAUUAAAAAAACAUAAGGAACAAUUAUAAUAUGAGAAGCCAAAAAUACAAGAACAAAUUGAUUCUUAAUUAAGCUCCCAUCACAGGUCUCGAUGUCCUCAUUGCCAAAUUGACUCGUUGGAGUGGUUAAAGCUCUAGUGUGUUGUAUAGUUUGGUUAAAGCUCUCGUGUGUAUAGUUGCCAGAAUCUAAUAUGUUCUGAUAAAAGAAAAUCAAGCGAUCGAUGAUUCUGAUGAAUAUACUGCACCGCAUAAAUACCAAGAUCGAAAGAUAAGGUUCACUUACUCUAGUUUGUUUGAUAGUCUACUGGCCCAUCUCUCUACGUGCACACGCACACGCAAAGUUAAGCUAGUCUCUUUCCCUUUGCACGACGCAGACCAGACACACCCGUACCGUUCUUUGCAUGGGGAUCUCUCGUCUUCUCCUGGCCUCUGUCAACUUGCAUUGAAGCUUCCCGUCAACUCCUCUGCAGCCUACCUACAUACAUAUAGCUAGUUUCCCAUGGAGAGAUCAAGAGAGAGGCGCUGAGCACUCACAUCAGGUUCGCAGAGGGCAUCUUGGUACUAGCACACCACACAUUCAUAGCAAGCAAAUGGAAUAUUGCACGCACCCCUACCCCUGCAACUGGAAGGCCGGGCCGGGUGUAGCAGUAAGGUUUGGAUGGAAUGUUUCAGGUAGCCCAGAAUCCCAGAUGCUUCUUGCCAAAGCCAGGAGUCCCUACCAUCAUCAUUUCUCUCUACCUGUUAUCUCUGCUCAGAUGAUUAGACACUGCACGCUCUCUAAUCACACUUGACACAAAGCUGUGGCUAGCCUAGGUAAGUAGUAUAUGGUGUGACAUGUAGACUACUGAUGAUGACAUGCAGAGAGGUAGGCUAUACUCUAGAUGCAGAUGUAUAGGAGUAAUUGUAGAUAGCUCAAGGGGAGAAACAAUAUGAUGAAGCAAAGGAAAUGUCUUUGAAAAUCUGCAAGGGAUGCAUGGGAAUCAUCAAGAAAAGAAAAGAGGGAUGGAAGUCAAACAGAAACAUUGAUUCUGAUAUUUUACCUCCUGCUGGACACAUCAAAUGCUGUAAUAUCUGAUGUGUGCUCCAGGGUUCACCCAUUAAUUCCCUCCCUGGGACAUGGAUCACAGCCUUUCUUCCAUUGAUGGGGGCCAAGGGGUGUGGUGCUCUUGAGUGGAGUUCAAGGAAGAGAAAGGAGGGGAGGAGCACACUCAAAGAAACAUGGGUCCAACAGGGUGUGCAUGCAUGCUACCAUGAUGCCAAUUGGCAAAGCGUAGAUGCAUGGAUAAAACAAAUCAAGGAUUAAUUAGAAUGAUAAAAGGCUUUGAGGCAGACAAGGGCAUGCAUAGAGCUCCACUCAUAGCUCCUAGCUCGAUCUCUAUCUAGCCUGCGGGACUUUUUGGCACGGCAAGUUCUAAUAUUAAUAUUAAUUUGUUUUGAAACAUUCUCUUACCUCCAGGCCAAUGGAUGAACUCACGCGCAUUGGUCAAACGAUUCCAUGUGGUUUUGUCAGAUUUGACUUCUGAUGUAAUGCAUCAGAAGGACAGAUAGAGUAUGUAUCUCCUUACUAAUGCUUGCAAGAAGCCUUUGGUUUGGUGUGUAUAUGCCAUAACUUUCCAUAGAUAAUUACUGGUAGUUGAGAUGUUGAUUCUUGAAUGAUGGCCGGUUUGGUUCAAAGUCUAAAACUGUCUAAAGACAUCUCCAGUGUGCAGUGCAGAGCCAAAGAGGUCCUACUGUGGGGCUCACACAUUAUACUUGUUUGUUGUAUUGUCCCCGUUAAUAAAGAUCAGGGCAUCUUUUGAAAACCCAGAAAAAGGAAAAACAGGGAAAUAUGAUAGGGUGCGUGUGUAAAAUAUAUUGGUUGACACCGAAAUUUUGUAGACUUGGAUGUUUGAUUCAUAGAAAUAGGAAAAAUAACAAUCCUAAUAAACAGUCAAUCAAAGUCAACCACAUGGAAAAAGAUAUAACUAUAUAUGUGCCACUAAAGAGUGAAGAUCUUCUCGUCUUGUCCUUCGUAGCUUUUUUUUAAAAUCUUUUCAAUGUAUUUUUUUUUCAAUAUCAAGAGCUCACUGGAGCUUGAAAGCCAAAGCAAUUACCAUGGCAAGCCAUGCAUAUACAUGACAGUGGAGGUAUGGGAACUCAUAGCCUCCAACCAAAUGCAAGUAUCCAGGUUGAAGGCACAUGCAAAAAUCUACCAGAUUACUGAGCUCCCUUCAGUUCAAUCCCAUCAGAUUACCCUCCCAAGUCCCAACAACUCGCCUCUCCAUUGUGCUCUCCUGACGACAAUGCAACAGAUCAUGCAGAAGUCAAACAUGCACGUACCUUUAAAGGUCCAAGAAUAUGCCAAUGAGGUCACGGAGACUGUGAUAUGAUCCAUGGUCUUUGUUAUCUAAAGGAAAACGGGUGGCAUCAAAGGAGAAACUGAGGGUGCACAAAGGACAUGGAGAGAUAUGCUAUGGUAUGAGGUUUAUUCUACUUCAGAUUUCAGAGUUGAGCUCGUCUACAACUACAACCAGAAGGGCAGACCUCAAGUGCUCCAAAAGUGAGCUUUUGCUUUGUUCCUUUCAUUGACUAACAACCUCAGCUCUUGGUAGCAUGGAAAUUCUCAAGUCUCAACUCUCAGUGUAGGGACCUGUGGACUGUGGUCCUGUAAUAGCCUAAUGGAUUAUCUAUGUUUGCUAAGAUAAUUAAACCCGAUUCAUGUUUAGCACAAACUACAAGAACACAGGAUGCUAAGCAAGAAACUUCCGUUGUAUGCUAAUGACAGCUAGCUAGCACCUGAAGUCUCAUUCCCAUGAAACACAAGUGACCCAGAAAUGAAAAGAAAGAAAAAAACAGAUCACAAAAUGCUAAGCAAGAAACUUCUGUUGUAUCCUGGAGCAUGUUUGGGAUCAGUAAAUUAAGUGAUAUGAUCAGUACAAGGAAAAGCUCAUGGUCAGCUGCUCUGUAAAGUGGUGCCUCUUAAUUCAAUAUAUUAUCUAGAUUUGGGGUUGAUCCUAUUAGAACUUAAUAACUACUACGUACAUAGAAACUUUUCAUGUGUGAGCUUAGAGUAUAGAUGGCAAGCAUGUAGAAAUUUUUGCUUGUAAGGAUACUGCUCAAUCAUUGAUAUGAUGUGAACAGUAACACAUUUGCCCUUCCGUUUUAUUUCAGCAUGUCAGAACAUUCUCACUUUUGUUACUCUUUAAACAGAAUGGAUCUGGACUUCAAAUUUAUACAUCACAAAGUGUAGCCAUACUAUUUCUUUUUGAUAGAUCCCCUUCGUUUCAGUUGCCACCGCAUCUGAACAGGUUGCAUGAUUAUCACCCCCAGGCCUUGUUUGGCAACUAGUGUUUAGUGUUUGUAGAGAGUAUCUCUCCAAAUCCAAAAACACUAGAAACCCCAAAUGAGCCGUUCGAUAGGCAUGGAUUAGAAGGGAUAAUCUCUAGAUUUUUCUCCAAAAACACAUCAUUUUUGUAUCAAUUAAAAACAUUUUGCAUACUGAUGUUUUGGACUAGAGUGGGUCAGUGGGAUUGAGAGCAUUGGGUUAACACCCAAUCUCCUCAGAUACACAACCCACUUUAGUGCCAAAUAAGACCUUAAGAAUAAGUUGAUUGCCUUUAACCAAAGUUCCAUAAAACCCAGUAUAUUAAAUACUCUUUAUCACAUAGGGGCAAAUCAAGGAAGGUAACAAGUAGGAUCAUGCAUAAAAAGGUACCCUCUCUCUUUAACAAAAAAAGUUUGCCAUUUUCAACAACAAUAUUGAAUUCAAAGCAUAAUAUUGACCUCUGAUUUCUAUUAUACUCCCUCUGAUACAUAAAAAAUGUCACCCAUUUUGUUGUACUAAGUGAGCAACACUUUUUAUGGAUCGGAAGGGUACUUUACUUAUGAAACUCGACAAACUAAUAAAAUAUUUUUCAGACAUAAUCCAAGAUUACAAGCUUCCAACCGAGCAUUUCAAAGAUGCCGACUAAUAAAGUUCUGAAAUAACUAUAGUGGCAAAUCAGCCAGCACGUUCGGCCAGAAGCUGUCUAACGGGAGGUGAAGGGACAAGUCCACACAAUUAACACCCCACAACGAUUUAGUAGGUGUUAAGAUGUACUACCUCCGUUCCGGUAUAAGUGGCCCCAACGUAUCUUUAGGUUGAAAAUCUAACUAAUGUAACAUGAUUAUUAUAUCACAAAAAUUAUACCAUUAGAAAAUAGAACAUUUAAAGUUUCUAACUGUAUAAUUUUUGUGAUAUAAACUCAUGUUACAUUAGUUAUAUUUUCAAUCUAAGUAUGCGUUGGCCCCAAUAUAAGGGAGUACAAUUCUGUCAUGUCAAAUCUGUAACAACAUAUUACAGACAGUGGCCAGGUAUAGAUGACAAUCGAUUUGAUUGUUUGUCUCUCUGUGUUGCAAUCAUUACCUUUUUCCAUGUCUAUCUAUGCAUAUUGUCUUUCUCCUUCCACCUUCCUUUUCGCUCUUUCUUUAAUUAUGUGUAGAUCAGUUUAGCCUUUACUAGGCCUAAAAAAAAAGUUUAGCCUUUACUAUGACGGAAUGAAAAAUGAAGCUGUGAACAAACGCCACAUAUAUAAAUAUAUUAAUUAGAAGGAAGAUAUAUUAAGUUAAAAGGCAGCCAAUAACCAAGCACAAUCAUGUAAAGAGAUUUUAUUACGGCACUGAAUCAACAACUAAAAAGAAAUUUAUGUGUGUAAUCUAUAUGGUAGUAUUAAGAGCACUUUAAGAUUUGAGUUUAGACUUAACGUUCUAAACAAGAAGAUAAAAUUGAAGGAAAUUUAUCUGGCAAACAUAUAUACGCAUCACCUGACCUUGACAUCCAGUCUUUCGCCCUGAACUUCUGGCUUAAUAUAAGCAUAGGAGAUGCAACCGCCGGCUGAAUUUAUCUAAAUGAUUUUCUAAGGACACAAUAGUCAACAAGAUUUUGCAUUUUUCACAGGACUUCAGCAAGUACCGAACGAAACAAAAGAUCUGAAUAGCUACACCAUCAAUAGAUUGUUUUUCUCUGGACUUGACAGUUUGGCUAGUCGGUUUAAGAUUUGAACAACUGGCUGCUCAUGCAUUUUCAAGUCUCCUCCAAAUCAAAGCAAAGCGUGCCAUUACAGUUUUCUCACAAGAAGAGCCCCCAAUUUAGAGGGACAUUAUAACUAUAUUUCUCUUUGAUCACAAGAUCUGCCCUUUUAAACGAAGCAGCAGUAGCACUGCAAGCAUUGUAAAUACCAAACAGGCGCCUGCAGAGAUCAACGCUGCAAAUCUGGAAGAGAUUCAAGAUGCAGAUAGAAGGAAUGAAGAAUACAAAUAACAGUACACGACAUAAACAUUUCAUCAUUUCAUGGCCAACAAUACACGGUUUAAUUCAGUGGGAAAAGGGGCAAAUAUAAUUUAUGCCUUGAACAAAAUUCAUUUGGGAUUUGGACCAACAGUCCACCAUGCUGAGUCGGCAGAUAUUGUACUUUAAGGCUUAGGUGGAGCUCUCAAGAACAAUACGGUUGUGUUAAGAUUAGAUUGCAAUCAUGGCCACUAACAGGAGCACCUACAGUAGUCAACAUAAUAUGCUGUAUGGCGAAGGCCUGGCCAUCCAUAAACCUUAAGGCAAGACAAGUUGCGAUUUAAAUAAGAAGUGAACGAACUAGUAGAUUGUUAAAGUAUCUCCCUACCAGUAGGCUUCAUCUAUCUAAAUGGAUACAGAAAAGAUUAAUAAUUUUCAUAAAUUACACUACUUCGAAUGGUCCCAGGAGAACAGAAGACCUAUGGCUACGAACACAUUCAAGCUACAGAAUCUAUCCUUUCCUGAAGCCCCACAGGCAAAGGGCUGCAUACACUGAACUCCCAGGGAAAGCACUAAGCUUUAUACCUUCAACUUGUCCUUUUCAAACCACUAAGCACAUAAAUUAUCACCCCUUACAUGCUAUUAGUGACCAAAGCAAAAACCCUCAGAUGCUAAAUAAGAAACCAGUUAGAACUUUGAUAACUUCCACAGAUUCCCUUAUCCCCCCUCCCUCUUAACUUCUUUUAAUCUUUUCAGUCAUCGUCGUAAACGUACCAAUCAUUUUUGUACCUUUCAGAUUUUUUGCCUGAUCAUGAUGUGUAAACCUUAGGUAUAAUUUACAGAAAAAAAGGUUAAAAGUUUCGAUGAAGAUUAUUUGGUGGACCAAGGCAAGGAAGAUCAUACUCAAGAUGCUCUGUGAUCAAGCUGAUUGUGACAUUAAAAUUUGUGGGGUUCACUAGUGAGGGGAGGGUAAAAUAAUCAGAAAAGAACAGCACUAACUGCAUCUGGAAGGCUGGAGUGCUCAUAACCACCAUAUCAUCAAGGAUUUUAUUACAAGGCAUCUUGUGAUUAUGUGACUAACGAGAGUGCACGCUAGAAGUGGAAUCAACUAUACGGUGAAUUCCGGUCUAUUAGCACUUUAGCAGAAGUUGAACCCCAAUGGAAUGUUUUGUCUGGUACAAGACUAAAUUAUGACAAAAAAUAAAUAUAGGGCAUAAAAAUGGUAUAAUCAAACUAAUACUUUUGAUAAGACAUGUACAUGUCAGGUUACUGAUAGUCAAUGGAACUCUGGACACUGACAAUUGGUAGAAUAAACCAGCAUCUUGUGAUAAAAAUACUUUUCAAGAUUAUGGAUGACAAGAAGAAUGAUGCGUCAUUGCACCACAAUCCUGUAAGCCCCAUCCAUUAGUGGCCUGUGCGCAUGGAAGAUUCCUCACAUUUUCGAGCUUUCAUACGUAGCAGAAGUGGGCACCUAAGUUGAUCAUUAGGUCUAUAAUAUAGCAUAUAUUUAAGCUAACACUUGCCAUUAAGAAAAUGGACACACUGAGGCAUCACAAAAAGGGCCUAUAAAGUAAAAGACAAUAAGGGUUCAAAGUCUUGGCACAGUAGUUAAUAAAGUAAAAAGACAACAAGGGCACAGAUAAAUUAAAGAAGGGCAUAAUAUUAGUAGCAAAACUGCUUUCUAAUCAUGCCACGUCGUAAUUACCAAAAUUCAUCGCUUUCCUUUGUAUUACUUUGUCUUGACUCUUGGUAUCAUAAAGAGAUAGCUACAAAUCUAACUUUAUUAGAUCACACAAAUAAUAUUUUGCCCUGUCCCCACUCCCCAGCAAUCUACAGACCUUCUCUCUGGUCAAUGAUGCACAGCUAUAAAAUCCUUCAUGAUAUUGUUUGGUUUCAGCACAAUCCGAACGCAAUUGCUCAAUAUGUUGUCCGGUUUCAGGGUUAAGGUGCUAUCAGAUUUUUUGAAUAAAACAACUAACCCACUAACCAGUAGUUAUUUGAGCAUAAGACCAGAUGUAUCUGUCCAACUGAUGGUACACAGCACAGCAACUUCAUGUUAUGGUCUUUCAUGUGAAAAAAAUGCUGUCUGUGUAUAAAUAAAAUGUAGGAAUGGUUAAACAACAGAUGUUGUUUAUUAUUAUUAUUAUUGCUCAUAUUUGUAUAUCGGAAUAGAAGAAAAUAUGCUCAGAACAAUCGUCUAUAUUCUCAAUAUACUGGAAAUUGUGAAAUAACAGCAUCCAGUAAUAGAAAAAGCACCUUGGCAAUAAGAGAAUGAUCUCCUGCCUUUAUAUUGACAGCAAAACCAACAGUCCUAUCAUUUGACUUAGUUCCAUUAAUAUGGAUGGAAACAGACAACCACUGUUCAGAUGUAUCGCACAUACCAUGAUAGUUUCAGUCCUUGUAGCUCACACAGUUAUACAUUACGCCUUUCUAUAUGGACAUGAACAUGUCGACAAAUUCCAGUCAAGGUGAUCAAGUAUUUAUUUAUUUUUUGCCUUAUGCACCAUUGAGCCUUUCACCACGCAGAUGUUCAAGAAACAUAACAAUCAUAUACUAAUAGUCUAAAAUUAUCAUUUUCAGGCUCAUGUACAAAUAUACUGUUUUUGUCAAGUACAGAUCCAGUUGAGCAAGUGAUGCACGAAAAGUUGUAAAUGCCAUUGUUCUCUAAAUUUACUGACCAUGAAGCUGUAAAGAAUUUAACGAAUUAACAUACCAUGCACAUCCAUAAAUCAAUAGAUACCAUGAUGCAUAACCAAAUUAAUGACUGCCAAUAACUUCUUAAAGCGGUUGUUGGACUAUUUUGACUGCAACAGACAGGAACUAAGAUCAAUUUGUGCUUAACCAAAGCAUUGAAGUGGUUAUCUACUUAUCUUCAUCAUUUGCUGCUCCCAAUGUCUUCCUCAAGAAAGCAUAUGGCAUGCAGAGUAGUCGUCAGUGCCAAAAAAAUGAGUUAGAAAUCAUGUGCAAGCAUCCCUACUCAUUUAGAACUCUAGAUAUAGGAGAAAUCAACAAACACUAGGUCCAUUUAGGUCAAACACUGUCAGAACUCUUACAUAUAACUAUGAGGUUAACAAGUUACCAAAUAUAAAUAUUUUGAACUCAAUGAAAAAAUGUUGAUUAUCCGCUUUGGACGAAUAAAAGAGAGAAUCAAUCUAAUAUACUGGCACUGGAUUUAUUCUAUUUUAUCCCUGUUUGAAGUCUAGAAUGCACAGAUCUUACCAUUAAGUUCAAAAUUAACUCACACACUGAUUAGAAAAUUUUGAUGGAGUGAAAUGCAGCAAGUAUUGGGUAUCGAGGCAGAAAAGAAUGAAGUGAUCACUGAGUACUCGUUAUGUUCUUUUUAAGUUGAUCGUCCUGAUUUACCUUCCAAUUUCCCAACCUACUUUUCUGGAGAGCACAAUUUUCCUACAGGGCAGUAACUCAUUUAGCUCAAGUAAAAUAGAUUACCCCUUCCUCUAAAAAACAAGAGAGUAUCCCAGGAUAUAAAUAUAAGAACUGAAGGAUACACCUAAGAACUGCGUCAACAGACACGUCUCAUUUGCUCUUAUAUAUAUUCCAUUAUUCGAGUGCCCCUAGGAAUGUAGUGUUAGAACAAAGGUUCAGGAAAGAACGGCACACUCCUAAAUUCUAACCAUUAAGCUGCAGCCUAACAAGCUCAAGAAAUCGAGGAACUAAACUUACAAAACAGAACAUCAUCUCAAUUUUCCAACAGGAAAACAUCCAAGUCUUAAGCUACCAUUUCUUAUUGCACAAACAUUCAGAUAUCGCAAAAGCAGGGAGCAAUUAGUAAUACAUUAUUACUGUGACAAUUCUGUGGACAAGAAGCAGAUAGGCAACUCUAACUCGUCUCAAGCUUCGAACAGAGAGGUACUUCUCUGAACGUCCGUUCACCUCAGCGCGACGGAAGUCACACGUCCUGUCCACCGCGGCCGCCGCCUCCCGCUGCGCUGUCGAGGGUCUUGAAGCCCUCGGACACGGCCCGCGCGCGGUUCUGCGCCUGUCUCUCCACCGCCACGAAGUACAGACCUGCACGGCGAUAACCAUCAAAUGAGAUCACAGACACGGAGCACAACCAGGCGGAGACGAAGACUGGGUGUGGAAUGGAGAGCUGGGGUCUAGGGUUUUGGUUGGGGUGCUUACUCACUGCGCUGCCGAGGGCGCAAAUCCAGAGGACGCGCUGCGACCACCUAUCGCCCACCACGCCUCGGCCGCCCAUCCCCAUGCCGCCGCCGCCGCCGCUUCCGGUGAAUCUCUGAUGUGCCGAGCGCUCUCGCCUUGUCUGACCGACAUGCAGGUCCCAACUGUCAGGAACCGAAGUAUUCGUGGGCCAGGGUUGCCCCGGCUGUGGAGCGGAUUUUUUUAAUUUAUUUUUUUUGGCUAAAGGAGAUUUUAUUACUUCGUAAACAUGACACUAACAAUAAUGGCAAACCUGCACAUUUAGAGAGCUGAUAACAGCUUUUACAGGGCAAGAUGAUGAAUUAUGUGCUAACCCUGCACAACUAUAAAAGCAAGCUUGAACAUUAUGGAACUUGUAAGCAUCCUAAGCUUGCCUGUGAGCUAUCUUGUUGUUUUCUCUUCUAAUUUUGAUAACUCUUGCAUCCAAGUUUUGAAUAUAGGAGAGAAUCUGAUGUAGAUUUGGCCUUAUAGACCAAUGUCUUGGAUGCUUGAUUGGGUCUCUCUUUACCACAGCUUCAGCAAGAACAUUGCUGUCAGUUAAGAAAUUAGGUUGAUGUACUCCCAUGACUGUUCCAAUCUGUGCUGCAAGCUCCAGAGCUUGAGCCUCCACUUCAAGUGCUGAACCUGCAAAUGAGAAAGCCUCCACAAAAACAGAAUACUUUUGUUCUCCAAUCCGAUGCAUAAAGAUGCCAAUGCCUGCUUUACUCUUUGUACCUGCAAGAAAAGACACAUUUGGAGACACAUUUGAAGCUGGGGCUUCCAAGCAGCAUCAGUAAAAAUGUUAGGUCCUUCAGCCAUGCGACGCUUGUGAAGCUGAAAGGAAAUUGGAAACACAUUUGUAGAAGUAUUCUUCCAGGAAUCAUUCGUGAAGAAGGUAGGCCCUGAAGAUAUUCCGCUACUGUCAAUGGGAGAUGAAUGGUGAAGUUGCUAUGACUUGGUUCCGUGCAAGAAAAGACACAUUUGUGGAGCGGAUCUCCUGAAGUUCACGAAUCACGAUGCUCCAGAAAUGGUUUCCGCACGAUUGGGAAAUAGUCAAACAACAAUAUAGUGUGCCAACUCUUCUUUGGCUUAUUAAGAUUUACUCCAUGUAUACAAUGAUGUGACAUGAAAUUGAUAUCCCUGUACUUGCAUUCAAAAGCACUGGCUUCGUCUCGUAUGAAGUGUUGUCUAAAUGAACAUGUAACUACACAUCACAACGCGUCUACAUGUAUAUAUGUAUGUAUCUAGACAAAGUUGCGACUGUUACAUAUUAACAGAUUAAUUUUUGGUCAAAACAUCGGUCAAAAGAAUCCUAAUAUGUCGGCUAGUAUGGUUGUCAUGUUUUCUCUUUGGAGAAACUCGUCUUUGAGCGCAAAAUAAAACGGAUUUGCUAGUUCUUAGUCGCAUGAGAACAACAAUUUCUCAGUUGACGGUUUAAGCCGUUGGAUCACAUGCCGAGGUUCGCGCUGCAGUGAGUCCGGUGAUUUCAAUGUCUUCAUGUUAGCAGGGUGGUCUUCUGCACAUUUGCCCAUUUGGUACGUCGCAUGUUCGAUUCUCCAUGUUUUGCUUUUCUAAGACUAAGACAAUAAUACUUCACAUAUAAUACAUGUGCAAUUUUUUAGAUUAAUUUUCACAUAAAUUUCUGUUAAAAUAGAAACCCUUGCAUGUGAAAUAUUAACUCUUGCAGGUGCAAUUUUAAUACUUGAAUGUGCAACUUUACUGAUUUAAACUAGAAUGAUAUUUGGGCAGCUGAAUGCCCUGGAGAAGUGCCGCAUUUUCUGUGGAGAUUUGCACACAAUAGCUUGCCGCUGAGAAUGAGUAUUAAGAGAAGAGGCAUCCCGUGCGACACAAUCGACCCGAUGUGCCAUCGGCUGGAUGAAGAUGGAGCACACCAGUUCCUGUAGUGUAAAGCAGUUGGGAAAAUCUGGAACGAGCUGUAUUUGGAAGAGCUGCGAUGUGAGCUGCUCUCGCAUGCAGGCCCGCGCGAGGUGAUUGCCGCUGUGCUUCGACAGAAGGAAGAAACGAGAUUCCUGUGCCUGUCGUUUCUUUGGACCGUGCGUAGAUUAAAUUAGGAGCUGCUGUGGUUGGCCGACUAAGAAAUAAACAUUUCUCAGUCGACUGAGACCGAGCCACUCCCAAAAUAAAAUGGUUAGCAACCAGAAAGAAACAUCAUUGCCGGAGGAGUUCAGAAGGAGAUCUGAAAACACCAAUGUUGUCAACAGUCAAAUCGGAUAAAAAGAGAGCAUAUAAGGAGGGGCACUGCAAAGGGGCGGAGCAAGUGGGGUGGGGGAAUGGCCCAAGAAGGAACCGCGGAGGCAAGCAUGCAGGGGAGUAAGUUUUGUGUCACAUAAUUCACAUUUCAUUCUUUAAUCAUUGGUCAAAGCUUGAACUUACAGUGACAAUAAACUCCAUAUUUCUGAACGGAUAGAGUAAACUGAUUAGCAACAAACUACUACGUAUUAAUGUGCCAUGACCUUUGGAUUAAGCUAAUUGAAACGAUUUCAAAAUGUGAUGGGACACCACUAGUUAAUGUCAAAUAUUAAGAAAUAACUGCACGUCUGCACAAACAACACCAGUGAAAAGACACCAAAGUACAAAAUCUCUUUCAGUAAAGUGCAGCACCACAAUUUAAAGAAAAUGUUGUUAUGGCAUGGCAAUGCUCAUUACAGGAUUCAAAUCACAAUUUCUGGACAUCUAAGAGUUUGCUUGUAUAAAGCUUUUAAAUCUACAACAAUGACAAGGUUAGAUAUCUUGCACAACCCGAUGGUACUACUCUUACUACUCCAAUGGAGAUGCCAAGAUGGUAGCGAAGUAAAACAUUCGCAACCAUACGGUAAGGCAUGUACAAAGGAAAAAAAAGUUACAGAAUUACACAAGAGAAAAUCUCAGAAUGCACAUUGGGCUUGUACUUGACGAAGAACUGUGCAACCUUUUCACACCAUGCUUUUCUGUUAACUAUCUCAACAUUUCCCCUUCAAGAAGAAAAAACUCUGUCAAACUGACUUCAAACGCAAUUGUUGACAGUGGUGGGAAAGCAUACAAACAGGAAAUAUUACCUGAAAGUGCAAGGUGACAGACCGUCAGACCCAAUUUCACAAGCUCUGUGUAGCAAGCAUUAUAAGUUCAUAACUAUGUUUAAAGAUCCCAACCUGUUGAUGGCAAAGCAUUCCAGUGGCUGAUGCAAGAAUCAAUAUCUUUCCACAAAGAAGCAGCCCAGCCUACUCAUUAACCAAGAUAAGAUUAUGGUCCAUCCCCGUGGCAACUUGUAAGACCUCUACUCCUUCCAGGGUAUCGAUGAGACAAGGCUCUGCCUCAUCCAUUGAGCUUCCCAAACCUAGCCUACCAUUUCGGCCAGAUCCCCAUGCCCAAGCUUCUCCGUUAGACAUGAGAACCACAGAAUGAACUCGACCAGCAGCAGCUGAUACUGGCUUCUCACCAACCAGAUAGUCAAUUAGUGCUGGGAUGUCCUCUUGGCCAGGUCGGCCAAGCUGGGAGCUGCAGUUCCAUCCCCAUGAGAGCACACGAGUUUCAACAUUGUCAGUGCUUGUAUGGCAUAGUGCAAGAGAGUGGCCAGCACUUGCUGACACGGAGAAUGGGCUGCAGCUUAUGUCGACAGGAAGUAAUUUGGGCAAGCCUGCCUUCCUACCAAGUUGUCCAUAAGUGUUGUCUCCACCACUCAGUACAGUGCAAUUAGCUGGGUAAAUGCAUAAACCACAUGAGAGAAAUAAAUACAAUGGAAAUUGAAAAACGUGAACACCCAAAGACAAGUACUCCCUCCGAUCCAUAAAAAGUGUCCACCAUUUUGUAAUAAGUUAGUACAAAAUUAAAAUUUGUACUAACUUAGUACAAAUUUUAUACUAAGUGGACGACACUUUUUAUGGAUCGGAGGGAGUACAUUUUUAGUGGUCAUUAUUGUUCAUCUAUUCAAACUUGUGCAAUUGCUAACAUAAAUACAUUCGCAGUUUUGGUGCUCACGCAUACAAAACCUUGAGCAUCAUACUGUAUGCAUGACGCUUCAUGCUUUCAUAACAGCCCAGCUCCUAGCUUUAUAUGUUGAUAAAAGAACAAACAAGAAUUGUGAGAAAGAAUGUAAGUGCUUGAAUAACCAAUGGUCACAACUUAUAUUUACUAUUCAUAAUUCCACCAUGGAUUAUCAACACUUACUAGUUUUGAGGAAAUGAAAAAUAGAAGUAUGAGAAAACAUUAUCCAUAGCAAGUUUGCACAAGGGCUUCAAUUUUUAGUGAAAAUACUUACAGCAGAGAACCAGGGAAUGAUCAAGCCCACAGGACACAUCAGAUACCUCAAGAUGACACACUUCAUGAACAAGAGAAGGUUCCCAGAUGAUGGGCAUAUUAUCUUCACUUCGAAUUUUUUCUGCAACCAUCUUCUCAACAGCAUCCAUCAUUGAACUAGAAUACUUAUCCCCCAUUUUGCCAAUGUAUUCUUGGGGAGAAGGAGCCUGGGUACUUCGGCCCAUUACUCCCAGCCUUCCAUUUUCUGAAUAACCCCAACCAAAUAGCCCUCCAUCCUUUGUCAAUGCCAUGGCAUGGCCCCAUCCAAACGAUACCUACCAUUUUUCCUUCAAUCAGAACUGUUGCCUUGCUAGUGAGCAACAUACAUAUACUUUAAUUUCAGGGAGAAAUUUGAAACCUUAACAACAUCAUAGCUAGCAAGUGCCUGCACUCUACAAGGCACUGUAGCCUCCACAAUGUCCUUGCCAAGGCCAAGUUGGCCACGCUUUGAUCUCCCCCAAACCCAUAAAGAGCCAUCGCACCCAAUUGCUGCCGAAACAACACCUGAAGCAGAUACAGAUCGAACUUGAACAUUCUCCAAUCCUCUCACCUGCUCUGGUUUGCUCCAAGUAUUCCUGCCAUUAAGCAAAAUGGUAAAACAGUUGCACUUACAUAUGUUACUGAACAAGCACAUUACUGUUGCUGAUUUAUUUGGGCAAGGAAGCCAUCGUGCUAGUAACCAUAUGGUUUCCUUUAAUGAAAUCGGAGAGGUAGCUCUCAUUAAUAAUCAUAAAAAAAAUCGUGCUAGCAACCGGAAUAGAUAAUUGCAAUUUGCAACUGCACUUUAUAUAACCUAUCAGGAAGCAGUGCCAUUGUUGCAGAUUAGCACUACACUGGGAUCAUAACAUUGGGGCAUCGGUAUGCACGUGAGUCGUCACCUAGUAGCGCCGAAGAGAAAGAGCAUCCAACAAGGGCAAAGGGAAAGGGGAAAGAGGGUUAGAAUAAAUCACCUCGGGGCGUUGAGACCGCGGCCGAGCUGGCCUUCUUCGUUGCGCCCCCAUGCCCAGACCUCCCCGACUGCGGAUACGGCGAGGGAGUGGUAGUGACCGGCUGCGACCGCGGCGACGGACGGCGGGAGGGAGGGCACGGGCGUGGGGACGUACACGUCGGCAGCCGGCGCAGGCUGGCCCACCGCUCCAUGGCUGUUGUCGCCAAACCCGUACACCGCGCCGGAUCGCGGAGGCGCCUUCGCGCACGCGGCGAGCGCGGAGAAGAGGCGGGAAGCGGAGGAGCGCGCGCGGAGGAGGUGACGCAUUUGGGGCAGCCGUCGAAGAGUGGGGAAGAAGACGACGGCUGCGUUGGGGACGAUUUACUGUGGACCCGAGAAAAGAUAGCCCAACUACGCGUCAUGUUUCUUGGGCCGGGCCGAUUUAGGCAUCUUACGCAUGCUGACUGUCAUUCGGCCUACAAAAAUAUGGACCCCACAGUUCGGUAGAUUGGCUGCUGAUGAAGAUUAUGGUAAGGUUAAACCACCACAUGGCAGCCUCCUCUCCCUCACCUCCACGAACAUUCUAGAUCAUGAAUACAUGAAACUUUCAACUCAAAACUCGAAAGAUCAAAGACGCAGGUAUUGGUGAAGAGUGAUCAGAGAUGCAAUGCACACUAAGAGCACAAUAUAAUAAAUAUUACAAGCGUGCACGCAGCACGCGUACAAAUUUACAUGUUACACCCACCCUCAGCAUUUUAAACCUCUCUCACGCACUACAUUCCAUGGACGAUGGGUACCAUCAUGGCGAUGCACGGAUCGAUCGAUCGAUUUGAUGAUGCCUUUAGUGGAACUUGAGGCUGGUGAGGAUGUUGUUGUUGACGGGGUCGGAGAGGUGGUCGAGGAGGUUCUGGAAGGGGCCGACGCCGGUGAAGAUGGCCUGGAUGGACAUGCCGAGGAAGGCGAGCAUGGCAAGGCGGCCGUUCUUGAUCUCCUUGAGCUUGAGCUCUGCCAACUCCUUGUCGCUCUUGGUGCCGAAGCCGAGCGGGUUGAAGAUGGGCCCGCCGGGGUAGGCGGGGUCGCCGGAGCCGCCGAGGAACUUCUCCAGGCCCAGGAAGUACUGCUUCCCCAUGGAGCCUGGGUUGUACCAGUCCUGCAGCCGCCGGUGCUCCGCGAACCCGAUCAGCGCCAUCUCGAACACGAACAGCGUGUAGGGGUCGGCCCAGUACUGGUACGUG